rnacentral:lncRNA from 1 species
AUCAACUAAAGAAGUAAACCAUCCACAAAACAAUAUCCAACAUCGAAACUGAAAUUUACCUAAAACUACUGCAAGCAUACAUUCAAUAUCAAUAUAACAUUCAUAAGCUCUAAGAUCUACUUGUGCAAAAAACUUAAGACCUGCAGAUCAACUUUUGGGUGAAGCCUUCGUAACUCCACUCUGCUCACUAGGCUGAGCUCCAGGUGCAGCAUCAUAUGAGCCAUGUGCAUUAUUGCCCACAGUACUGUCAGCAGAAUACACAGGAGGCUGUGAGUAACCACCAGCAUAAGAAUCACUAUAUGGCUGUUGCUGUUGUCCACCAUAACCUGGCUGGGCACUUGAAGGUACACUGUAGGGUGGUUGGGCAUACCCUGAAACCGGCACUCGGUUAUUUGACAUUAAUUUUGUGACAUUGAUUGUCUCGGUUAUCUCGCCUUGAGUUCAUUGUUAGGAAAACCAAGUUGUACGCGCAUCGUCCCGAGUCUGUGUCCUCGCGUCCUUUUGUCAAAAGUAAGUUUUUGGAUUUAGGACGUACGUACCUAGUUAGGGCGUACGUACGUCAUGUUAGGCAGCAAACAUGUUUUGGUUAGGACGUACGUACCUAGUUAGGACGUACGUACGUCCAAGCAAGCAGCGAACUAUUUCCGUGUGGGGACGUACGUACGCUGUUUCGACGUACGUACGUCCAAUGUAAAAUCUGCAAAGUCCGGCCCAUUUUCUAUGUUUCCAAACCCUAACUAUAUAUAGGGUUUCUCUACCCAAUGAACAAACUAGUUCUUUGGCCGUCCAAUUCAUCUCUAGUCUUGGAGUUUGUUUAGGUUUUGGUUUAGGUUGUUUUGGUGAUUGAACUCAUCUUCUUCUUCCCGAUUCAUCUUCUUCUUCCUUAUUGAAUAAUUAUUGAGAUCAGCUUCGAGUCUUCUUGUGUGUUCAUCAAGAAGUCGAGUAUCCUUGUGUGUUCAUCAAGGAACUAUGGUGUAAGCUUGCUUCAUAGAUCGACUUCGAGUCUUCUUGUGUGUUCAUCAAGAAGUCGAGUGUCUUGUGCGUACAUCAAGGUACUCUGGUGAAGUCAAGGUGUUAGAGAUAACCGGUAGUGUCAACUCGCAGUGAUUGCAGGUAGUUGAUAGGUUUGUACAUCUCUUUUCAUCUAAUGGAUUUAUUUGUUGUCGCGAGGACAACCGUGGACGUUUCCCAUAUUGGGUUUUACCACGUUAAAAAUAUUGUGUGUUCUUUAUUUGUUUACUGCUUUAUUGUUAUAUUGCAUAUAUUGGGUUUUCAUACCCUGCUUGAGGAGCAGCUGAUGCAAGACCAGAAGAUGGAGGACGAUGAUGACUUGCAUUAGGUUGAGCAGAACCAGCAUGUGUGGGAGUGGUCUGAAACUGUGCAUACCUUGGCUGCGCAGGAGCAGGCUGGAUAUAGCCUCCUUGGCUGAUUGCUGGCUGCCCGUAUAUUGCCUGACUUGGUGGUGGCUUCUGUCCUUGGGGUGGUCCAUAGCCGCUCUGGGUUGGUGGUGCUGAUUGUCCAUAGCCAGUUUGAGAGGUCGGUUGGGUUCCAUAACAUGGUUGUGAGGAUGUGGGAUAAGCUGAUUGAGGUCCUUGGGUGGGGUAGCUUGGAGGUGUGUUAGGUUGCUGAGUAGGAUACCCUUGCUGCGUCGCAACAGAAGGCUGGACAGUUGGAGGAACCUGCGUAGGUGCUCCUUGUGUUCCGUAAGCGGGGAUAGCUCCAUCUUGUGCUGGGUUAGCCCCAUAAUUAGGGGUUGCAUUAUAGCCCUGUGACGGAUCAUAUCCUGGCUGACCAUAACCAGUUUGAGGAGCGGGACCAUGAUACCCAUAACCAUCCUGUGUAUAACCCUGCUGUUGUGCUGCAAGUGGCUGGGAGUAACUAGAUCCUCCGUAAGAACCCUGGGGCUGAUUGUAACUGGAAGCUGGCGCCUGAUUGUAGUUGUAACCAGAGUUGUCUGCCGUAGUAGUGGACCAGCAGCAGAUGGUUGCUGUGGAGGUUGUUGAUUAUAGUAAUCAUAUCUACUACCCUGGUUGGUCUGCUGACUCGGUGGAACAGAUGUUUGGUCCCAUCCAGUGGAAGUUGGCUGGGUUGGAUAACCAGAAUAAGGGGGCUGAGACAUAUUAUACGGUGGUGGUGGUGCGCCAGGAUACGAUCCAGGCUGCAUAUAGCCAUAUCCAGGUUGUUGAGAGGAAGGUCCUGGUGGGCCCCAACUUGGGGGCUGAGGACGAAAACCUUGCUGAGAGUAGCCUCCGCCCAUUGCUGGAUUUCGAACACGAUUCUGCAAAUAUUUUUGCAAUCAUAUGAACCAUAAUCUAAAUGCCUAACAUUAGAGAUAUCUAUAUAUCAACAUGGGAAGGUAAAACAAAUAAAAUGAAUAAGGAAAGAGAUGCUCAAUUCUUUUGUGGAGGGGAUAUAUAUUUGAUAUGUAUCUUCACCUUCCACGUGUCACAUCAACAUAUGCAUCUAUGUGGGUUGGGCACAAGAAUCAAUGAAUCAUCCAACACUUUGGUCCAACUCCUUUUUGUUUAGCAAAACAUAGUACUUCUAAGCAGUAAGCAGUAAGUAAGCACCAUGGAGCACUCUUCACAACAUAUGGGCAAGUUUAGGGGCAAGCAAUUAAUCAACAGAAAUCUGAGCUCAUUCACGAUAGGCACCUUCCGACCUAUAUCACUAUCGAUAUUGUCUCCACUUAAUCAUUGUGGUUAUUUAACAGUGUGGGGUUUUUAUAGACAACAGCCUACUUCCCAGGAGGUCGCCCAUCUUAAGAAUAAUCUAUACAUAUAUUCCAAUUAGGGUUGUUAAACGAACCGAACAGCUCGAGCUCGGCUCGGGCUCGGCUCGAGCUCGUGAGUAUAGCUAAACGAACCGAGCUUGAACAUAAAAUAAAGCUCGUCUAAAAUUUGAGCUCGGCUCAUUUAUAAACGAACCGAGCUUGAACAUACCAAAGCUCAGCUCGUUUAGAUAAAAUCCUAUUUUUAUAUGUAAUCUAAUCGAGUAGCUCAAGCACAGCUCGGGCUCGACUCAUUAAAAGUACGGCUCGAGCUCGUUCGUAUAGCUAAACGAGCUGAGCUUGAACAUAAAAUAAAGCUCGUAUAAAUUUUAGGCUCGGCUCGAACUCGACUCGUUUAUAAACGAACCGAGCUUGAACAUACAAAGCUCGUCAAGCUCGGCUCGUUUAACACCCCUAAUUCCAAUGUCAGGACAUCCCUCCUCUAACAUAUCAUAGGACCCACCCCCUCGACAAACCACCUGCCGACCCGUGGUAUUACAAUCCCACCACCUUAAUUAGAGGAGAGCCGUCCUCGACUCUAGAAUAUACAGUCGGCUCUAUACCUAUAUUCCAAUGUCAAGACAUCCCCCUCUUAUGUGUCGUAGGACCUACCCCAUUGGCAAACCACUUGCUCGCAAUAACUUGGCGAUUUCCAUUCCAUUCCUCAAAAAAUCACAAUAGUGCAUAUCUCGAUCCCAAAGUGAUAAUUUCAUUCAACACGCAUACUCUCCCACCCUUGACACGUGAACCACUGUCGGCUCUGAUACCAUUUGUAACGACCCAACUUAUAUCACCACCGAUAUUGUCCCUACUUAGCCAUUGCGGUCGUCCGAUAGUGUGGGGUUUUAUGGGCAGCAAUUUGCUUCCCAGGAGGUCACCCAUCCUGAGAGUCUGAAACUACCCCCACCCGAACAUGCUGAACUCCGAAGUUCUUUCAAACUCUAGAGCCAAAUGAGUCCAAAAUGCCUCAGUGAUAAUAUUUGACAGCUCUAUACUUAUAUUCCAAUGUCAAGACAUCCUCCUCUUAUGUGUCAUAGGACCCACCUCCUCCGCAAACCACCUGCCGACCCAUGGUGUUACACCUUCAUCGAAGACAUUUGUCACUGCUUAGAGGGAUUCCCAAAAUAUCAUUCACCACCACCUUCCCACAAUACUUGGGAGUCCCCUCUCUUCUUGGGUGUGUACCAUAUGAUUAUUUUCAACCUUAUACUGAGAUUUCAAAACUGACUAACUGGUUGGAAAGCUGAAUCAUUGUCUAAAGGGGGUAAGCUUACAUUGAUUAAUUCUGUCUUAUUUGCACUCCCCACAUAUAUUAUGUCAUGCAUUAAGGUGUUGAUUAAGAUCAUUAAUGAGUUAGUUAAAAUUCAGCUCUUUUUUUCUGGGGACAUGAUCCAAGUGGUAAGUUGCAUUACUUCUCUUGGGCUAUUGCUUGUAAGCCAAUCCAUGCAAGUGUUCUUGGCAUUUAUGACCUCAAAAUUCAUAAUCAAGCCCUUCUUGGUAAGCAAGCUUGGGCUCUCAUCAACCAAUCUUCACUACGGUUAUGAAGAAGAAAUAUUUUUCCAACUCAAGUUUUAUGUUAUCUGGGUGUCCACAAUCAGCUUCAAAGAUGUGGAAAACUUUUCAUAAUCUUAAGGAUAUUAUGCAUUUGGGUCUACAAUGGGAAGAGGCUAAUGAUGAAGCUAUUAAUGCUUGGAAUGACCCAUGGAUUGCUGGAAAUUCUUGUCCAUUACCGUCGAUUGCGCCUCCUGCCAAUUGUACCAUCCAACUGGUUUCUGAACUUUUAUUACCAGGUCAAAAGCUAUGAAUUAUAAUCUUAUUAUGCAGCUUUGGCCACCUGAUUAUGUGUUAAGGAUUUUAUCUCUCCCAAUUUCUUCUGUAACACAAGACUAUCUGUUUUGGGCUCUUAGUAAAUCUGGGAAUUACUAAAUGAGUUCAACCUACAAGUUUCUCACUCAGCAGACAUAUCCAUCUCACAGUGUUCAUGAUCCGUCUCACAAAGUGGCUGAUUGUCUUAUCUCACAAAGUGACUGAUUGUCUUGCUAAGUAUGCAACGAACCAAGGUAUGAACAUAAAUUGGCUACAAGUUCCAACAUUCCAGUGUGCUCAUGUACCAGAUGACCUUUAUAAAUGUAUUUAAGUUAUGUUUCUGUCGGGGGAAGACAUCCCCUAAUUUCUUAUCUUGUAGUUUUGUAUAAUGACUGUACUAGUGUAUGUAUGCCUCGUUUUUAGUAAGUAAUUAAUAAAGAUUAGUUUUUCGGAAAAAAAAAAAAAAAAAAAAAAACACCAUGGAGCAAAAUUUUCUUGUUGCCACCUGAAAAACCUAAAAAUGUAAGGAGAGUUGAUUAUAAACCCGAAUGAAGAUAAUUUGGGCCUUUUAAAAGCCCAAAAUACACCACUGUAAACCCGGCCCAAUAUAGCAUCCAUCGAGAAUGAAACACACAGUUCAUGGUCUUCUGAAGAACUCGCUUUAACGAAAGCAAAGAAAAGCUUAAUAGCAGCGGCGGAAUUAGCCAAGUUCUUGCAUUUUUCUAAUUCAAACUAUUAGAUUAAUCACAUCAAAGGUAUUCACUUUACAAAUUUUUCCACAUUUCUCCGAUUUUUCAAUCAUUUUGGGGAUUUUUUUUUUAAUCGUAAUCUAGGGUUUUAGAUUUUUGCUAUAAUUUAUAUUGAUGUUUUGAAGUUUUCGAUCUCUUAGAGGAAUCUUAGUGUUGAUUUUGAUCUAGGGUUUUUAUUGUUUUUGAUAAUUUUUGAAGAAUUUUGUGGGUUUGACUUGGUACUAGAUUAGGGUUUUAUGACAUUAGUUUAAGAGUUCAGCUGUUUUGUCUAAAUUUCAUGUGAAUUAGUGUUCGGUGGUUGACCGUGGUACACGUUGCGAAAGAGAGAAAAUGCUUUCUUCUCCCAUUAUUAUUUAAUUCAUUGACCUGUAUACUUACCUACUAAACUUAACAAACACACACAUGCAUCGCAUUACCAAACUCAUUUCAAUCCAUCAAAAACCCUAGAAAAUAAUUAAAUAAAGCUUCUUGUUUUAGAACCCUAGAAAGUCUUAUUACUUGAAGAACAGCAAGAUGGAAGCAAUUUCGAGCUCUAAACUUGUUCCUGCUCACAUCACAAAGUUGUCUACUCCUAAACAGAUCUUGUAAGUAUCUCAAUCUUCUUGAUCCAAGUUUUAAUCAUAUAAUAAUAAGAUGAUCAAUUUCGUGAAUUUUUUGGGGUUUAGUAAUCAUAUAAUUUUUUAAGUUAAUACCAUUUCAGAAAUAGGAAUUGGGUUUUUUAUCGAUUUUUAUUGUGGAAAUACCAAAUUAAAUUUAUUUCUGUUGAAUGAAGUUUGUAGUUUAGAAAUGAAAAGGGGUUCAAUAUCAAUUUAUGCUCAUAGUUUCAAUUUUCAAAUGCAACUGCCUUAUUUGAAUAUGGAAUUUAGAUUCUGGUUAAAUGUAGUUAUCUCUUAUCAUUAUCACUAAAGAUCUAUGGUGCCAGAGAUAUAUUGUAACUGAGGUUUACAUCUGUUUAGUAUUAAGACUGACUUAAAUCUGUUUUUGUAGGUCAUUUAACCCAAAUAACCGUUUGAUAUCAGUGAAAUGUAGUUCCUCCCAAGGAUCUAAACGUGAAUCACUUAGUAUUUCAUCUUGUGACUUGACUGAUACAAGACAUGUACCAGUUGGGGGACAAUUGAUUUCUGGGUCUGCUCAUAGUAGAAACCCUGUUGGGAAAACAUUUUCUAGUUCAGGAGUAUGGACUUUGGAUCAACAUGUUUCUGAAUCUUCUUCUCAAGUCACAGAAGACAAAGUUGGUGUGUUGCUUCUUAAUCUUGGAGGACCAGAGACGCUGAAUGAUGUUCAACCAUUUUUGUUCAAUUUGUUUGCAGAUCCAGUAUGUUAAAUUUUACCUUCAUGUGAUAUGUAUAUAUCAAAUUUAUUAUGUUAUGCAUUUUAUAACUAGUCAUACUGAUGUCUUGUGGCAGGAUAUCAUACGACUUCCCAGACUGUUUCGCUUUCUUCAGAAGCCAUUGGCACAAUUAAUUUCGGUUCUCAGGGCUCCGAAAAGUAAAGAGGGAUAUGCUUCCAUAGGGGGAGGAUCACCAUUGAGGAAAAUAACAGAUGAGCAAGUAAGAAGCUUCUAUCUUACGACAAAAUAGAUUAUAUGCUGGUUCGUUUUUUUAAACAGUCAAGUAAACAGUAUGGUAUCUUUCUCCCAGGCACAGGCAUUGAAAAUGGCAUUAGAAGCUAAGAAGUUGCAUGCCAAUGUCUAUGUUGCCAUGAGAUACUGGUACCCAUUUACCGAGGAAGCAGUUCAUCAGGUAAGUGCAUAAAUGCAAAUAAUUGAAAUAGUAAGUUGUUCUUGUUGGUAUGGCAUAUAAUAUUCAAUUUGAUUAAAGCAAUUGUUUGGUCAUGUCUCAUUUAAUUAUAAGUUGACAUAUUUGUGUACCUCUGCACAGAUAAAAAAUGACGGGAUUACAAGACUUGUUGUGCUACCACUUUAUCCUCAAUACUCCAUCUCUACGAGUGGAUCAAGCAUACGUCUCCUCCAAAGCAUCUUCCAGUAGGGAUCUAAUCACUAUCUUCCAGUUCAUGUUAACCCAUUCGACAUUCGUUUAAUAUCUCAUUCACUUGGCUUACAUAUCUUCAAUUUACCAUUUACCAGGGAGGACUCAUGUCUAUCAAGUCUACCAGUUUCUAUAAUACAAUCAUGGUAUCAACGUGAAGGUUACAUUAAGUCGAUGGCGAACUUGAUCGAGAAAGAACUAAAGAGUUUCUCCAAGCCGGAGGAGGUAGGUUUAUGCAAGUUCUUAAUGCUUUUUGUUGCAAUAAAUGGGCUGCCACCUCUCUUGGACGAUUGGCUAAUAUCAGAUGGAUGGGCUGCUAAUCUCUGUAAUGAAUUAUAGGUAAUGAUAUUCUUUAGUGCACAUGGGGUACCGGUUACCUAUGUUGAAGACGCUGGAGAUCCAUAUAGAGAUCAAAUGGAGGAUUGCAUCAGCUUGAUCAUGAAGGAGCUGAAAUCUAGAGGAACUGACAACGACCAUACUCUUGCGUACCAGGUAAUUUGAAAAUCUCUGUUUGCCUAGAUGAUUAGUUUACCAUUUUGAAAGCAUCUGAUCUUGGUGUACACUCAAAUCACUUGUUUUUUAUUCUCUUCUAUUCCUUCAGUAGUGGCAGACCUUGUGUUGAUUUGUGGGAAGAAAUAUGAAUUUUUCCUAUAGUUGAAACCUUGCCCUUUAACUGGCAUAUUGCAGAUGGACGAAGCAGUUACAGGCUUACAGCUUUUUAUCCUAAAAACUUGUGCCCAGAGCCUAGUGCUUUUAUCCACAUCUAAUAGCUGCAACCUGUUAGCAUUUGGUUAUGCACUGCUAAAAUAAGCAAAUGACUUACUAUGAUUAGAUUCAGACACUUGGCAUCUUAAUUUUCUUUUGUAGAGCAAUUCUUAAUUUUAUAGCCUGAUGACUUAGCCACUGUGGUUUUCUGUUUUUCAGAGUCGAGUUGGUCCCGUACAGUGGUUGAAGCCCUAUACUGACGAGGUUCUUGUUGAGCUUGGCCAAAAAGGUGUAAAGAGUCUCCUUGCUGUUCCUGUAAGGUAUGUUCUCAUCCUGCUCAAUUUCCAUAAUAAGUUGUGAUCGUUUGAUGGUUCUAAAUUCUAAUUAAGAUGUGGAAGUUGAGAACUAUCUUUCUAGUAUUUCAUUUGCACUGCAAACAAUUUUACAUAGUUGUACACCAAUUUGUUCAAAAUUAGAUACCCUACCAUUGCAUCGCUAGAAUCGUUUGGUUCAGCAUACCAAUUAAAUAGCACCCAUAUUAUCUUUGGCUUUUAAUUGUGGUUGUCUGUGUGAAUCUAAAGUUCAUUAUAUAUAUUUUUUGGUUAGAAAAUGCUAGGUAUCUUGAAAUUUCUGUUGGCAGGAUUAUGAUAUCCAGAAUGUUGUUUCAUAACCUUCAGCUUUGUAAGCGAGCACAUAGAAACUCUUGAAGAGAUUGACAUGGAGUACAGAGAAUUGGCUCUUGAGUCGGGCAUUGAGAAUUGGGGCAGAGUGCCAGCAUUGGGGUGCACCUCUUCCUUCAUUUCUGAUCUAGCAGACGCUGUCAUCGAAGCUCUACCUCUUGCAACAGCCAUUUCACAAGAAAAUCCAACGAAGAAGAGCACGUCAGCUGAAUCCGACACUAACCUAGUGAGAUAUGUAUUGACAUUGUUUUUUGGUUCAGCUGUUGCGUUUGUUCUUCUUUUCUUCCCAAAACUAGCCUCUACGUUCAAGAACUACAUAUAAGAACCACAUACAAGGAACUAAGGAAGGAAGCAUAGCUUGGUUUUGUUUAUAUACUGCAAUAUACAGAGAUCACUUGUUAGUGAAACAAUAUAGGGAAUCACAUAGAAACCCAUCUUUUGGAUCGCUUAUUUGGGAGGGAUUAGUCCUUUAAGAGGUGUUUUUGGUCUUUAUUGUUAUUAGUAACAUUUUGUAACACAUUGACGACUUGAAAACAUAAAUAAAACUACCUUGCCCAAUUGAGGCAAAACAAGCAAUAUUUGAUGUCAUACCAGAUGAGGAUGAAACCAAAACUGAUUACACAACAAGCUUUGGAAUGGUAACCAUAAAGCAGGAAAAGAAUGAUAAUGAAUCUCAACCUAAUCGUGAAGUCAAUGGUGAUGAGGACGAUGGAAUCCAGCUUGCGGUGAUGAAGAAAAGGGUGAGACCAUAUUUAUUUUUACCAUCUUCCUCAUUUGUAACUAACAAUUGUUAUGUAUUGUUAAUCAUAUCUCAUCUACAAGCUUCCAAAGAAAAGAGGCGACAAACAAUAUAAAAUAAGGCAACAAAGAAUCACCUGCAAAAAAAAUGAAAUCCAAAGAAAAUUAAAGGUAUAAUUCCUACCAUAAAUUCGACCAAAACUGAACUUUUGAUUCCUAAUGAUUGUUUUGUCUGGCACUUUGUCUUAAUUCUAACUUUUGAUUAUUAUUUAUGCAGGACUUGCAUGAAGAGACCAAAGGGCAAGACAUGGAAACACAUGAUAAUUAACGGCCUCCACAAGUUGCUACAUAAACGACUAUGUUUGGAUUUUUAAUGGUUAUUAGGGUGCUUGGAUGUCUUUUUAUUUUCAAGAAAAACAAAAUUGCUUGAUUUACAUUUCGUUCUGUGUGUUUUACCUCAUGAUUAAGAGAUACAAGUUUAAUAUUAAGAACUGAUUUUGAGUGCUUAAUGGUAUCUAUACCCUUAUGAAUGUUCCACAUUAUUGGCAAUCUAUAUCCUUACAUAUCUAGGAAUGUACACCAUUCCUGUUUAUGAAUGUACAUAUCUAGCUAUGUUUAUUCAUUUCCUUUCUGAAUGUACACCGUUAUUGUUGAUGCCUUGCCAACCAAAGUGACAGUGUGCUGCUACCUGGAAACACACUAUGAGUGGGGCACUUUGUUCCAAUUGAGCUGAAACAUAAUAAGGAGUAAUGACCAGUAAGUAAAGUUGUUUAUUGUUUAUUCUUUUGGAAAGUUGUUGAUCAAGAUUGUAUGUUUUCAGACAUUGUUUUAUACAAAGAACGAACUUAUUCCCGACUCACUUUAGGUUGUCCAAUUUUUUGAUCUUGGAUAACACGUAAUAGAUCUCAUCUUCUCCCAUUCUUCAUAUUUUAAUUUUAAUGUUUUUACUUGCCAAUGUUUCACAUUUCUGCCUCCACUUGGUGCUUUAGUACUGUCUGAUGAUCAAAAUGGCAUCAAUCACUUUUUACAGAUAACUAAGCUUUGCGCUACUACUAAGAUUGUUGCUUGCACCGAUCGUCUACAAGGAGACAAGACUACUGAAAUAGUGCUACAAUAAACCAGGAAUCUUUUUCACAAACACCGCAGGUCACCCACCAACACUAUCCAUCUGCCCACAUAGCUUUUUAGGUACUAUGUUUCCCCUUUCGCCAAAUUUCGUUUUUAUUUACUUCUGAUCAAGAAAAAAUUAUGGCCUUUUCUUCAACUUGUUUAAUAGACUAUUCAUGGAAUAAUUUUACCAUCGAUAUAUUCUAUAUCAUUUAACCGAAUAAAUCUUGAUGAAAUCCAUCCAGCUAAACUACACCGCGAAACCCAUGCGUAGCACGGGACCACCUAUAUAUACUAGCAGGAGGGUCCGUGCUUCGCACGGUUGGAAUAUUUGAUGUAAAUUUGAGAAAAGUGUUGAUGUAUUUGUUGGUAGGAAUGAUUUGGAAUUGUUGUAAUGCGAUAGUCAGAUGUCUUGUAAAUUUUGAUUUAGUUAUCCAAUCUUGGGGUGUGUUGUGUAGGGAAGCAUAUAUUGAUAAAUACAAAUUGAAUGUAGAAACCAAGAAUAGUAAGGUAUGAUAAGGAAGGUGUCAUUAGUAAAUAGGAAAAGAAUUAGAAACUAAAGUAUAAAUACUGAAAAUAAUAAAGACAACCAUAUAUAGUUAGAGAACUAUAUUUAGUUAUAUUAACAAUAGCAUAUGUACAUUGUGUACAGGAAAAGUACCCAAAAGCCAAAAAUAAAGUUUGUUCAAAAUUUGGUCCCCAAAAGAGUUUGUUCAAAGGUGUCGAGAUUAGACAUGCUUGGAUUUUUUUUUACGGAUGAUUUCAUCUACUUGUGAGAAAGUUGGGGCAGUAAACGGUGCAUCUGGAUGAUCGAGGUUGAAAUCUCCGAUUCUUAUUUCAAAUUUGAGCUUCUUUCCAACGAUGUCUUGCAAAGCUUCAUUCACUGCUCUGUCUCCAUCAAACUGUGUGGGUGGAAAGAAGUUUUGUUAGAAUGGAAAACAUAUAAUUGUAUGUCAGAAAAAUUGAGGGCUAAUGAAGUCUAAGAAUAACUGUUGAAUGAUUAAGGACGUUAGAAAAAUGUUGUGUUGUUGUGAUGCAUUAGAAGGUUCAAGAUUUUUUUUCCUGUUUUGGAAAUGGAUGAUACUGAAUUUUUUUAUCAUAGAAACAUUAAAUGAAUUAAGAGAAAACUGUAAUACAAAAGUUAAAUGGGGAUAAAUAGGGUGAAGCAUAUAUCUCUGAUAAUCAAAGUGAGCAAUGCUAUACCUCAAGACUUAAAUUCAGUAAGUCGUCAAAUUUUUUUCCAAGAAGGGCUUCAGCUGUUUCUUCGAAGACAGUAAUGUCUUUAGCUCCUGUUUCAUCUUGAAUUUCGAAACGAAUCCUGAAUCUGGGGAAAUAAAUUUGCUUAAUGGUGGUUGUUAGGUUUGGAAAUGGAUGUAAAUUGUAGUGUUUGAGUGUAGGGAUAUACCUUAAAGUUGGUUGAUCAAUCAAUUUUUUACAUCUAUAGCACCAGUAUGCAUCAUUGUCUUUGCUGACUCCCUUUUUACAUUUUGGUGCAAGCAUCAUAGUAAAAACCAUCUUCGUCAUAUGCUUUUGUAAUGGUUGCUUCACAAAGAGUCUUGACUGGCUGUACAAAUAAAUUUUCAGAUUAGGUGAAUAUAUAAACGAUAUUUAAAUAACAGUAGGGAAUAUAGGAAAAAAAUUUCAGAUUGAAUGAAAGUCUAUACAUCCAAUGUAUUGUAAAUUUUCAGUUUUGUUUGUAAGGAAAUGAGCGAGAUUUGUACCUGAGUGGCUUUUCUUGCAAGUGAGAUGAUGUCACAGAUUUUUUGUCCAUGUUGGUCUGAACGCCUUUUGGGAGGUAAUAUGCUUGGGCUGUAUUUGUUAACGAAGAACGUUGUUAUAAAAUGAAGAAUGAAUGUUCUUUAUUUUUGUAGAAUAAGUUUUGAGUUUAGUAGAGCAAACCUGGUUUUCAAUGCAGAAAUUUGCGGCAGUUCCAAGUCAAUGUAGACUUUCGUAGCAUAAGUUGCUUGAAGAUAGGUUUCACCUAAAUAUGAUUUGUUAGUAAGUGACGGUGUUAGUAAUAUAUGAUAUGUUGUUGUUUGUGAGUGAGUACAAAACUGACCAUCAAACUUUUUCACGAUUAGUGAUGUGACAACAACAAUGGAUUCUUCUUCAACAGCUGUGAAUAAUGGCGUGAGGUGUUCAAUACUGUUUCCCCAGAAUGCUAUUCUGAUGUCUUCUCCGCUGCAACAAUAGCGUAUUAACGUGUAAUUAUUUGGAUUUAAAAAUUCUGUUAAAAGAUGAUAUAGGUAAUGGGAAUGAAUUACCUUCCAUCGGAUAAGCGAAGAUCAUCCUGUUUUGGACUGUCUCCUGCUCGCGUUUUGAUGAUUUUGCUGCUCUUAUCAAUUUCUGCGAAGACUCCAAAUACAUCUGUGUAUGUUUGAGAAAAUAUAUAUGAGAUUAAUGUGUGUAUGUAUAACUUCAACGUGGUUAGUAUGUAUAGGUAUAUGUGUGAAUGAAUGUUUGAAUUACCUAGCAGUUGAUUGGGUUUGUCGACCUUGUCUUCGAAACAAUGGAAGUCUGUGAAUGUGAAGGUCUGUUUUGGGAAAGAUAAUGUGUUAUUGCCCGGGUUGAUUGUUGUAUUUGCUUUGAACUUGAUCUUGAAUGGUUUGUUCAAAGGGCAAUAAGUUCUAUCCUUUGUUUCGACAAUGAAGUCUGACAAAAUGAUGACUUCUCCUUCUUCUAGCUUGUUGCUGAAAUUAGAGAGGUCGGCUGAAGAUAUUGAUGCAUGAAUUUGGUCUCCCUGUAUUUAAAAGGAGAGGGUGAUUUAAAUUUUUAUUUGAUUGUGAGAUAAAGAUAGAAAUAAAUAUUUAAUAUAGGUGAGAAUAGUGUAAGAGUUACCUUUUCAUCCAUGAGGAUCAUGCAGAUGCCAGAUAUAGUAUUUUUGCCAACUUGGAGGACCUCACAUAGCCUUUCAACUCGAACCAUUAUUUUCCAAUCAUGCUGCCGAAAUGGUCUAAGUUGUUUGAUGAGCGUAAAUUCUGACAUCACCAGUUUGACCUGCAGUGUAGAAGGAUAAUCAAAUUAACUAUGUAGCUAAAGUUCUGGUUUGAAUAUGAUGUUAAGUAGAUUUAGACAGUAAAGUAGAAUUGGUAGCUGACUAUAAUCUGUUGUCGUUAUACGGCGGAUUAUUGUUUGUGUGCAUUUACAGCACUUGAUGAAAACAUAUAUCUAAGUAGUGGGUGAUCUAAUUUUAUAAGUUAUAAAGGAUGAAUCCCAGGGAAGUGGAAAUACUAAGUGCUAAUAGAUCUGAUCUUAAUAAGAUCUGAGCUUUUUUUCUGUUUUCUUUUUGUUUUAAGUAAAGUGGUAAGAGAUGAUACCUAGUAAAAGAGUAAGUACAGAAGAAAGUGAGGUGAGAUGGUUAGGGUGAGUAAGAUUCACUACUGAUAAAAAAAGUUUAGAGAAGAAUAUGUAAAAUGGUUACAUGCAGAGUGUAAAGUAAUUGGGCUAAUAUAUUGACAUGUGGCUUAAGCAAGGUUUAAAUUUGGACACCUCAUGCUUAACAAAUAGGAAUGACUCAACAAACAAACAUAUAAUGGAAUGGUCAUGGUUGCAACAUAGCUAUAUUAUGACUGGCUUAUAAAUAAAUUUUCAAAGGUCAUUUUGUGUUAGGCUUUUACGUGGGAGAAGUAGUAAAAAAAUGUGAACCAUUCUGAGAAUCAUUUUUCUUGUCGAAUCCUUUCUCAAAUUCGUGUUUUAGAUUGAUAAAUGGUUGACAAUAAGGAAAUAACUAUGAACUCACCUUGACGGAAGCUUGGGCAGACUGGAAGUGUUGUAUUUUUUAGAGCUUUGUCAUGCCGCGUGAAGUCUGGUUAGUUACAUCUGUGGCUUCCUCUCUUCAUUGUUUGAGUGUAGCUCCAUAGCGUCUUUCAUUUUUCCUACCUUUGCUUAUAAAUGACAUCAAAGGAUUGAGCUGGAACAAAAUAGAAUUAUUGUCAGGUUGUGAACUGCAUGAAAGUGUUUUGACAAUGAAGGGAAAUUGGAAACUGAGACGAACCAGCAUCUUGAAUAUAAAACUUCCCUGCAAUUUUGAGAACAAAGUAGAAAAUAGGAAUUAGCAUGAGAAGGUAUUCAUCAAUAUAAAAAAAUACAAAAACUAUAAAAAGAAUUAAAAACUAAGUAUUAAGAUUUAAUAAGUACAAUUUAUUAGCAGACCUGCACAAAAUGGAGGUAGGUUGGUGAAGAUGAUAUAUGUAUGUACUGAAUUUUUUAACUUUGCCUUUGUUGCGAGUGGUACGCUCGAUUCUACAGUUGGAAUAAAAGAUAACAUAUUGAAACAUCAUAAUCAAUUAAGGCAUUUGAGAAUACAGUGGAAGGACAAUAAAACUUUACACAAACCUGAUUUUGUUGGCAUAAUGUUGUAGAUGCAGUCAUCAGGACUUUGAAGUUAUUCGUGGGGUUGAAGAGCUUCAGGGUAAACAACAUUUCUGGUAUGAACACUUGGUGAGCCAUUGACAAAUCCAUUCUUUUUGAGAAUUUUGGUAUUUUGUUGAGUAAUCUAAGCAUCCAGCGAUUCCCUUUGUGCACCUAAGUGCUAUAGAAACAUCACAAUUGAGUUAUGUGAGCAUCUGUCCGACUCCAAUGUGAUCCCCUGUCCAUCUCUUCCUUUUUAUCUAAACAUGAUAUUAAUGCCCGAGUCCUGUAUAGACAUCCAUACAAAAUCCAAAUACUAUCAAACACCAUCCAUGAAAAUAGAACUGUAAAACACAUAAGAAACAGUGUAAAUAGGUAUCCAUUAGCCCAUUGUGAAACUAAAUAGGAGAUUUAAAUUGUUGAAAUGGGAGAUUUAAAUUGUUAACAACAAACAAUAUUAUAAAUUUAUAACUAUUAUCCCUCUAUAGUUGAAACGAAAUCAUAAAUUCCACAAAAGUUCUUUUGUUCGUAAGAGGACAUAUAUUAGUAAAAUUCGAGACUUUUACAAUUUUGUAGAAUGACACAUCGAUCUGAAAAUUAAAUAUUAAGCAAAACUCGACAUUACAAUUUUAAGUUAACCAUUCUUUUUUUUUUUAAAUGUAAGUUUCAAACAUUACAGAAAUAACAUUCAUUGAUAGUAAAACUCAGUCCAUAAAGUUAUUCUUGUUAGAGGUUAUUUAUAAUUAGAAACAAAACUAACCUUGUUCAUGGGGUCCAAUUCAUAGGUGAAAAUAUCGUGCGUGCCGGGCGGAUAUUCGCGAUAUUUUCCGUUUUUUCAGAGAUCGGCACGGUAUGGAUCACGGCAUAUAUUCGGAUAUUAAAACACCCCAUGCCGGUCGGCAUUUAUCGGAUAUUCGCGGCAUAAAUCGGCAAAAACCGAUAUUUAUCGAAAUUUUGGAAAUUUUCGAUUUUAAAAUUAACACAUUUAUUUUUAAUCCCCCCGAACUAGAAUUUUCGAUGAGAUUAUCAAAAAAAUGUCCAAAAGGCACUAGACGUUUGGAAACUUUCGCGACGAACUUGAUGGCCCUCCAAGAGCAAUAUAUCAGAAAGAAACGAAAAAAAAGCACGCCCAUGCCAAAGUGAAGUUCUCUCUCACUUUUGGCAAACCAGUAUACUGUUUGUAUCCAAGGUUUGUUUUUGUGUAAUGAAUAAUUGGUAUCGAAUUGGUAACAUAGGAACCUCCCAAAGUGAUGAUUCCAGUGUACCAUCCUACCAAACCCAACCAGAUGACAGUGGUUCUUGGUUUCCUAAUAUAGGGAGUUGGUUGGCCCCAAUGACAAGUGGGUCCGACGUGCAGUCAGCCGAUACAUUAAUGCCGGUUCAACAAUACUCGAGAUUUCCUAUAUUUGAAUCAUUUGCUCCGUAUUGUAUGGAUCAAGAUGCAUAUGAUAUGCAUAUUGACCAAUUCAGGUCGUACGAGCAAACAAUGUCAUGGGAAUAUUACUGUACUGAGUUCGUCCCCACACGUAUGCGACUCGAAGCUCAUCGGUUUGACAAGGGGCGUCUAUCAUUCUGGGGUUAGCAUGUCUUUUAUUUUGAUUAUUAAAAUAAAACUAUGGGUUGAGUUGUAAUGAGGUUGUUUGUGUUUAGUUCUUGUAUUGUAAACAUAUAAAAUUUCUAUGAAUAUCCGCCCGAUAUUUACGAUUUUUUCACCUAUGAGUAAAACUAUCUUGUGUAAUAGUUCCGUCUUAGCUUCCUUGUAUGAUUUGUCGUGUGUUUAAUUUGUAAUGUAUGUUUUUCUUUUAAUUAUAAGUUUAUAUAUCUAAAUCCGCGAAAAAACACGUAAAGUGCAGAAAACCUCCCAAUUUGCCGAAUUUUUCGCGAAUAUUCGCGAAUAUCCGCGGCAUAAACCGAUUUUUUCGAAUUUGCCAAACCAAUACAAUCCGACACAUGAGGUCGGAUAUCCGCGAUAUUUUCCGGUUUUUGGGGGAUCGGAUAUCCGCCCCUAAACGAUAUUUUAGCCUAUGGUCCAAUUACAUUUGUAGCAAUUCUAUUUUGUUGAUGGACCCGAGUUUGCAUUCGUUGAUGUUCUCUUGCAUUUGCGCGUUCUUCUUCAGUCAUGUUUUGUCGACGGGUUCGAGCUUGUAGUCGUCUACGUUCUCUUACAGUUGUGCGUUCUUCUUCAGUCAUAUUUUGCCGACGUGCAUGAGCUUGCAAGCGUUGACGUUCUCUAAUAUUUUUGAGCUCUUCUUCAGUCAAACGAUUUUGACGCUUUCUAUAUUGCAGAUGGGCACGUUCUCUAUGAAGACUUUGUUGUUCAAUAGUCAUGUUUAAUCUGCGCAAUUGAGAAGAAGACCGAGGACAGCUAUGACUAACAUCCAUGGGCUGCAAAGAGAAUAGCGAGUCAAUAUUUAGCCGAUUUUUUUUUGUGUAACGUCAACAUGGCAGAAGAAAGACGGCUCAACAAUAUAAGUAACCAUAUCAAAUUUGCUUAGAAUGAAAUGAACAAAGGGAAUAACAUUCCCAAGUAAUUGAUGAGUUAUUCCCAAGCAAUUGAUGAAUGGUAAUCCUCGAUUGAGUAUAUCUUUUUUCUUUUUUUUUUUGGAAGAAAGAAAUUAUGGUUGGAGAGAGCAAAAAAGAAGUAAUUUCUUUGGAAGAGAUGACAGCAGCAUAGUAUUGAACUUCUAAUUCAUAAAGAGUUAGAAGAGAUUAAAGUAUAAGAAAGGGGGGAAAUUAGAAGUUGUCAAAUUAAGUAAUUCAAAAACUGAGUUAAGUAAGAAAUAGGAACCUGAAGUGAGAUUGUCUUAGAUACGAUGAACUUAGCGUAUGAUUGUGAAGAAAUGGAAAUAUGAAGGUAAUUUGCCUAUCAAUCUUUCUUAUUAAAUAAUUAGGAAGCUUUAAAGAACUAAUUUAGGGAAGAAUAAGUUUGAGGGAGAGGAGAACUGACCUUGAUAUUGAUGAAGAGCUGGAGAAGUCACUUUAAGGUUGAGGAAGAAGUUAACAGAGGCUUGCAAUUUUUUUAGGCGGUGCCUAAAGUACUAAGCAUGUCUUUCAGUUGGUAGAAAUAAAAAGCUAAUACCCCAGACAAAAAAAAUAUGCUUACUGUAACUAUAUUAGAAUAGCAAAAAGAAAAGUACGCGCAAAACUUUGUGAUAGAGUUAACACCAACAGUGAACAAAAACUCACUGAAACUCUCAGAAACGACAGAAGAGAACAAAUUGAGAGGAUUAUAAGAAACCCCUGAAGUAAUUUUGUGCAAUCAUGCAAAUAAAACCCCAAUUUCAAAUACUUGAAAACAAAUAAUUUGAUCAGAGCUUGUGACCAUAUUCAUAUCGAUGAAAGAAUGAAAUCUAAAAUAAGAUUAUAAGAAGCCUUAUUCUUACCAUUGACGUUGUCGGUUUCUUUAUUCUUCUUCUUCUGUCCAAUGAGUAGAAAUUUGGUGGUGAGAGUGGCGAGGAAGAAGAAGAAAAAGAAUUAAAAUCGAAGAUCUUUACAAAUCUAGAGUUAUAACCCAAUCUUAAUCAUUGAAAACAAUGAAAAUUGAAGAUGAGAAUGGUUGAAAAUUAAAGGAUUAGGAAGAGUAUAUUGAAUUAGUAGUACAAUAUUAGAAAAAUUGAGGCAAUUUAAUGAGCGAAGGUGAUAGAAAAGCUUUGGAAAGAGCGAAUUGAAUUGGAGGACAGAGGACGGUGAGAAGUUGGGUUGGUGUAGUGUUUGGGCUGAACCUGAGUAUGAAGAUUGAAGGAGGGCAUCGAGGUAAUUGAAAGAAAUAGAUGAAACAGGCAGGUGCAGAGUGAGUAACAUGCCUCGAAGUGCAGCCGGCUUCUAAAGAUUAAGAUAUAUAUAUAUACGUGUAUGACUUACUUUUAUAUUGAUUGAUAGCCUCAGCUAGUACCUGAUGACAUUUUCAAAUGCUUCUUGUUACCAAGAUGAAAGAAGAUAUUAUACCAUUAUACAUAUCACAUCCUGAGAGUGUUUAGCUGCGCGCCCACAAAUUAAGAUUGUAAUCCCACUGGAUCAAAAUUCAAAAACCAUAGAUAAUAAUUACACCAUAGAGCAUAGUCCAAGCGCCAUUCUCACAAUUGAAUAAAGAAGUUAACAAAGAUUGAACAUUGCAAAAUAAUAUGCUCGCCUAAUAUCCAAGUUACUAUUUGUUCCGAAUAGUGGUAUAUAAAUAGGACAAUCAUACCCAGAACUCAACCAGCACAAAAUCAGAAACAACUACAAGGUAGAUAUGGUGCUAGGAAUUGGGGUAAUGAACGUACAAGUUAUGAUAGGACGGGAAAUCCAACACCAAUGCAACUGAUAUAUAUGUAUAGGGCUGGAAUGAUAACAAUACAAAAAUGUGAGAACUUCAGAUCUCCAAACCAAUAUCAUAUAUUGAACAGUUAUAUUUAUUUAUUUGCAACGACUUUCAAACCAAACUUGAUUGUGCGUAGACAAAUUAUAACAAAAACAUCAGUUUAUUAAUGCACGGUAGGUUCAUUAUCUCAGACCUUUAAAUGUUAGAACGCGGUUCAUUAUCUCAGACCUUUAGAGCAUUCCCAAUGGUAAAAUAGUUUUAGAGGUGCCACGUAGGAGAGAGGGUAAAGGUUUUAGGAUUAAACUAUGCUAAAAGUGUUUUUUACUUUUAGAGUUGCCAAUGGUUGUUUUUGAAUGAAAGAUAAAAGUAACACAAAUAUGACAAUUAUUUAAUGCAAUAUAAUUUUUAAUUAUUAAACAAUCUUAUGUGGCACCUCUAAAACUCUUUUAAGUCCUUGGCAAAUUUGCCAAGGAGUUAAAAGUGUUUUGCUUGAAAAGUGUGUUAAAAGCUACCAUUGGCAAGUGUUUUCACUAAAAGCUUACUAAAAGUGUGCUAAAACCUACCAUUAGUAAAAGGGUUUUAAGGGUGCCACAUAGGAGAGAGGGGAGAGGUUUUAGCAAACAAUUUAUGUUAAAAGUGAUUAGUACUUUUAGAGUUACCAAUGGUUAGUUUUAAAAUAAGUGUUAAAACAUAGUUUCACUUUUUCCAAAAAAAAUAUAAUGUACAUUGUGAUGAAAUCUAAUUUUUAAUUAAUAAAAUGAUCCUAUGUGGCACUUUUAACUCCUUGGCAAAUUUGCCAAGGAGAUAAAAGUGUUUUGCUUGAAAAGUGUGUUAAAACCCACUAUUGGCAAGAGUUUUUUCUUAAAAGUGGCUAAAAGUGAUUUAAAACCUACCAUUGGGAAUGCUCUUAUACUCUAUUUCUGCAUCUUUGUUAUAGCAUGGUUAUCUGUGCUUAGGUUUUGUUGGUUUUGGGGAGGUUGGAUCUGUUCCGGCAUUGCUGCUUUGACAUUAGGAAGGAAUAAUGGAAGAACCAAUGACAGAGCCUGCUUCUAUAAGUGAGCUUACAGAUGAAGUUCUUGACCAUUACCAACCAUUAAAGCUACAGAAGCUUGCAAUAUUCUGCUUGGAAACAGAAAUGUAUCUCUAUUUAGAUUAAUUAAGUUGGAUUCAUUUUGCCACCACGAGAGGUGUUGAUGAGCUGAUUUUACAUGUUUACGCACCAAAAAAACAUGUUUACAUGAAUAUACUCACUUCAGUAAUUAAUACCUAUCCUGAAAACAUCCUUCGGCAUGGUUUGUCUUACAUAUAUUCUUCGUGUAAUCCUGUAACAUACAUUCUUCAAAAAUAUUAUAGAAACCUAUAGUCUUAGUAUCUUAAUUCCAUAAUGGCAUCAACUAUAUCCCCUUCCGCAGCCUUCAGUGCCUUAGCUCUUGAGACCCCAGCCUGUGUCAUGGAUAACUAAGUCAAUGUACCUUGGGAACAUCCCAGUCUCAUCGACAUCUUCAUCAUCCUUCGCGAUUGCUGAUGUUUCGAGCUUGGAAAUCACGUGACUUAAAUCAGGAGCUUUGAACUGCUCUCCACAGCCUGUAUCUGCCGUUACGAGCUCAAAUCCUUCAUCUUCGCAAGGAUCAGAUGUUACGAGCUCAAAUUCUUCAUCUUCGCAAGGAUCAGAUGUUGGGCUCUCAAACGCAUCUGGUUUCGAGUUGACGAAUACAAUCUGAAAUAAAUAAAGAUCAUUUUGGUGAAGCUUAAAAAACAAGAGAACAUACGAGCAAAUAUGUACAUAGCACCACAUGCUUCACAGUACAUACCAGGGUAUGCAGUGUUACGAAUGUACUCAUUGCAACCAUCAGUUGCAAUCAACCUAAUGUCACGGCAUGAUUCCUUUGACAAUGUUUGUAUAACUCAGUGAAACUACCCUCUCUGCAUUCCAUAUUACCUAACCUGCUAAAGCCAAAUAGAAUAGCAUGAUUUAAAUUGAAUUAUUCAACAACAAGAAAGCUAGAAAUAAUAUGGAUCAAUUAUAGGGAAUUUUUUUUUUUUUUUAAUAUCUUGUUCUCUCUAAUAGUGCUGUAAUGAUGUAAUGAAGUGGCAGAGUGUGAGAACCAUAUGUGCUUGCAGUUCAGGUUUGCAUGACGGAUCUGAGCUCUGUUACUAGAAGUGACAUGAUUAAGGAAGUUUUAUUCACUGCAAAGAACAUGAUCAACAGUAUUAGUUUAUGAAUGCAAAAUUGAAAAAUUCUCAACAAUAGUUUACAUGUUCUUCCUACUAUGAUCAGCGAAAAUACAAAUCGGAAACUAUGAAUGGAGAAAUAGCAUCAAUGUUUCCACAAGAUUCCUCGGGUAUCCGUGUUAAUUAGAGACACUUUAGUCAAACAUUGGAUUAUCGUUUAUGCGUUGUUACAUUGUCAAUCUGUUUUAAGUGUAAUUCAAUAUAAUAUAAAAUGCACCUGAAAAACAUUACCAUCAAUCUUCUUUAUAACAAAUACAAAACUAAAUAAAUAAAUACUGUAAAUAUUCAGACAAAGAUUAGUGCACGUAAAUGAUAGUUCAACAAGUACUCUUUAACUGUGUAACUUAACAUUCCAAUCCUAAAUAGUGUUCAGAAUUCCAUUUCAUUAAGUGGUAAUUUGAUCGAGACUUCCUAGUAAUGACAGUAUGAAAAGUGAAAAUUGAAUCGAUGUUUACUAAUGAGAAAGUUGGUGUUACAAGCAUGUCAGUCCUCUAUCUCGACAUUUUAAUUUGAAUGAUGGCACCAACUUGCAGCUUGGCACCCCGCAACCAAUGCUAAGUGCUUAACUAAACCAAACAACAGAUAGAGCAUGACUUCAGACUUUCACUAUGGUAUUCCGUUUGUACACAUGAAACUCAUCUCCUUCUGUAAGUAUUUCAGUUUUCAAACUUCUAACUCACAUUCUAGUAGCAAUGACUGUAAUCAACAUUAGUCCAACGAAAGCAAGAGACCACCAUUUAAUAUACACUAGAGAACAAUAGUAUGUAAAGUGGAGAAAAUGACUCUGUAUCUCAACAUUUCUAUGCUUUAAGUUUUGAUUUAAUACAGUUUUGUUAGAGAAAGGAAGGGGUUUGAAAGAAAUGUACCUAUUUUUGCUCAUCCAUUAAUGAAGAUCUUGUAAACGUGUGAACUACGGCUUGUGACUUCUCCUUCUCCCAAACACUUUUUCAAAAUACUCGGAGAUUCUCAGCUCAUCAAGCAUGGCUAAUUGAGGACCGUUCGAUUUAUGGUAGGAUGACCAACAACAAAGGUGUUUGAACUACUUUGAAGUACCGGACGUGGUCCACCUGGCUAAUUUGCAUUGCCGUAAUACCUUGACCAUUUCCCAGUUGCAACAAACCUACCUAUAGAAACCACUGGGAAAGAACUUAAAUAAGAGUGAUCAGUACUGACCUCAAUAUGCUUGAUCAGUAUGGACUUCAUAGAACUACAUAUUUUAACAGAUAUAUAUAUAUAUAAGCAGUGCAAUCAAGACACUGCGCCUAUGAGACCAUCUCAAAACAUUGGCAGAGGUAUAAGAAUGGAAGUAUGGGUGAUCCUUUUAUCUAACAAAUAAGAGAUAAUUUUUUGGCUAAUGAAAAAGCUACUUUCAUUGAUAAGAAAAAAAAAAAAAAAAGAUUCACAAGUACGGCAGAGAAAUAAUGCGAAAGAGUACCCUGGAUCUCUAGUUCCCCUACUGCCUCAUAAGAAACCACUGGGAAAGAACUUAAAUAAGAGUGAUCAGUACUGACCUCAAUAUGCUUAAACAUAUACUUUGUUCUGCUCUUCAAUUUCAGCUGAUUUUUCAACCACAUGACCACCUUCGGCGUCCUCUGAAGUAUCAUCAGGAUCCACGGGAACUGGACUGUCUCCACGGUUUACAAUAAGCUCAAAUAUAUAGCUCUUUCUGUGAUGCUGAUUGACAAGAUCUGUAUGCUUGCAAGGAUUAUUAUAACACUUUUCACACAAAUCAAAACCUCUGCCUCCCCUAGUGCCAACAACACCUUCAUCAUAAGAGUCUUUGGAUUAGUAUCGCUUCCCAACUAUUGGAUUCAUCUGCUGAGAUUCAAUUACGUAUUAAGAGCAUGAAUAAAUAAAUAUUAAUUGCUUAAAGAUUAGCAAUUUUCAUUGUAAGAGCGUAAAUUGAAAGAAAUCAUCCAGCUUGCGUAAAGUGCUAGAUGCUAUGAACAACACUGGCCAAUACUUCACAACAAGAGUCUGAAAACGCAAGCAAGGACAACAAAAUGCUAUUGGAGUUUUUUUCCAACUUGUGUCAUGAAGAUAAGUACCAAUAGUGCAGCACGAGGAAAUCCAGGUGUUGUUGGACGGAUAGCUGUUUCUACAAAUGGAAGCACUGAACUGAAAGGAGUCUUAAUUGGUGGUUUGAGAGAAACAAGUAACUUCGUGACACAGUGGCUACGAUCCUUUCAAAAUAUUAGCAGAGGUCAAUUUUGGGGCAGGCAACUGUAUAAAGAAAGGCGUUUGCUUGAAAGAAAAAAAUCCUGUCGAAUCGAAUGACAUACCUCCCCAGCUUUGAGUCCUUGGACAGUGAUCUCUACCAGCAUGAAUGAGUAAUAAAAUUCUCAGCUACUUCAAAUGUUCGAACUUCGAACCCUCCAUGUAAGACAUUUGAGUGAAUGAGGUGCAAGCCUGCAAGAUUACUAGCUACCUUUGGUAGUCACCCCAGAUAAUCUGAAAUCCCUUUCUUGGUCAGGAACUGCCAGAAUAACAUCAACCCCAAACGGUCAGUCAAGGGUCUUUUCUUCCUUAUUGGUCACUUAUAAUCAGAACAAUCCUGUAGCAAAUGAUGGAAUGUCAAAGGGAGACGAUGAAAGAGUCAAAGAGCUAUUGAAAAAACUACUUCAGCCAGAGAAUUUAUGAGAAAGAAUACCCUGGAUCUCUAUAUUCUCUGUGAUGUCGAUUGUUACUCAAAUAGUUAAUUUAUGCAUAUAUAAAUACUAGAUGUGGCUCCCACAGUCUGGUUACACAUCUACAAGUUUCAUGUCAAUAUUCAAAAAAUAAUUUUGUCUAUCUAGACAAAUUUCAAGUCUACAAAUGCAACUGAGCGAAAUACCUCCACAUUUGAGACAUAUUACAUGAACAAAUAACUUUGCAAAUCAUAUAUUUGCAAAUUCCGUUUAUUUGGUAUUUACACAACCCAAUACAUAUGAAUGUGCAUCUCACAAACACAUGUUAAGUUGCACCCAAAAUUAUGGUGCCCAUUAAUGUCUGUAUAUACACGAACACAUAAGUGUUCAUUAGUCCCCUCAAAAGGCCUCUUUGAAGUAAAAUUCAAGAAAAAUCUACAUGAGAAAGAAAGUGGUUUGUGAAAGAUGUACCUAUUUCGAUCUUGUAAGAGAUUUCUUCUGUUCGUUUGAAACGUUGAGCCAAAAUAGGACAAUCAAUGAUCCUUAGUGUUUGAAGGUUGGUGAGAUGUUUCAAAUUAUCUGGCAUAAAAUCGAGGAAUUUGCAAUUCCAAAAUUUCAGUUUCUCGAGAAAGGGAGGAAGGCAUGAUGGCAUGUCUCGUGUCAAUUGUGGGCAGAAGUUUAUUUCUAAAUCCUUUAAUGCCGGAGAGAGCAUGUAUAAAGGAAUAACCUUCAGCUUUGGGCAAUAAUUGAUCUUCAAUUCACUGAGACAGGGCAUGAUGGUAAUACUUGCGGUUGAAGAUAAAUCUGGAAUCGUUUCCUCUUCCCACUCCCUCAUAUCUUCCAAUUGAAGAGACGUUAGAGCAGGGAAUAAAACAACUGGUGGUUUGACGAAUUCUCCAUUGUCCUCCUUUUCCACAUUAUCUCCCUUUCUAUCAUUUAUACUCAGAAUUCCCAAAAUCUCCGGACCCAAGAAGCUUUUCAAUCCAUCCAUCCAACUCAAUUUAAGGAACUUUAGAGAUUUUAGCUUUCCAAGACCUGAUGGUAAUGCUUGCAAUUUAAAGCACCAUGAAAUUUCUAAUUCAACGAGGUUUGGAAAGAAGUCUAUCUUAUUAGUAUCAUUUUGGUAUGGCAAAUCCCAUUCCUCCAAAUCAUACAAAUCCAUAAAUUUCAGUAUCUUCAAUUUUGGAAAAAUAAUUUGUUGUUGCACUGAAUCUCUUCCUCCACAACUACUAAGCCCAUAAAAUUCUUCACCAAUGUGUUUCACCGACAGCAGACUGUACAAUUCAAGAAUUUGAAGGAAAGGUAACUUCCCUAAAGCAGGCAAUUUGGUCCCAUUAUAAAACUCUACUUUCAAUUCUUCCAAAUUUGUAUGCGGUAUGAGACCUUCAAGAAUUCCCUCAUCACUAGGUAGUUGUUGUGUUGCUGCUUCUAAAGGAGUUCUGAAAGACAAAAUCAAGGAUUGGAGGUUUUUUUUCUUUUCUAGCUUUGCCUCUUUAGCCUCAUUUGCAUUCGCCACUUGACCCAAGUUACUUAUCCGUAACUUUCCUUGGAGAUUGUUAAGAAGCCCCAAUACUCUGAUAUUACACCCUUCUCCUUUAAUCUCAUCCCCAUCACCAAUAAUGAAUUUGUCUAGUGUUCGAAGACAACUCAAUUUCCCUAAUCCUGCUGGAAGAUAUGUUAGACUUUCAGUACCUUCAAUCAUUAAAUGUCGUAAACUACACAACUUUCCAAUUCCUUUGGGGAGUUUAACUAGUUUGUCACAGAACUCUAGUUUCAGGGUUUGCAAGUUAAGUAAAUUGCAUAUGGUUUCAGGCAGUUCCUGCAACCCUGUAUAAGACAGAUCCAAGUACCUUAGAUGUAACAAUCUUGCUACCUCCCUUGGAAAUUCUUUAACGUCACUGUUACACAGAUCCAAUACUCGAAGGCAUGUCAGUUGAUGUAUCAAUCCAAGACAUGUGAUCUUGUUUCGAUAAUCUCCACUAGAUCUCAGUGUUCGUAACUUCUUUAGCUCAUAAAUGGAUGGCUUAUCGGAAGCGAAAGUGAUCAAAUGACGGACAUUGACAUUUUCGAGUUCUUCAUCCCCAUUUAAAAUACAAGUUUCACCUUUACUAAGAAACUGCACAAAAUCAUGCACAAGAUCAUGCAUCAUGCAACUAGUAAUGUUACCUUUGGAAUCUUCUUUGAAGUCUUGGAAGAAAGAGCGCAUCGCCAAAUCAUCAAAAUAAUGUCCACCUUCAAUCUCCAAAUCCUUCCUCCCAUCUGAACCAAGAAACCCUUGUGCCAUCCAUAAUUCUACCAUUUUCUUCUUUUCAAUUCUUGAAUCUUUUGGCAAGAUUGCGCAAUAUACCAGACAUGGCUUUAGUUUUGCAGGUAAGGCAUAAUAGCUGAAUAAGAUUGAUGGUAAAAAACCUACCCCUCCUUCCUGGACAUCCCACAUGUUACUUGCCUGUACAUUUCGCCAGUCUUGGAUGGUUUUCUUCCGCCUCAUGAGACUUGCUAAAAUCCUGAUUGAAAGAGGAACGCCUCUGCAUCUUUCUGCGAUAUCGUUUGCAAUAUCUUCAAAACUCUGAAGAUCAUCCUCCCUUUGCGAGAAGGCUAUACGUUUAAACAUUUUCAAAGAAUCUUCAUCUGACAAUUGCCCCAGCCGAUGUAUAAAAGUAGACCCCAUACAAUCUGCUAUUGUCUCAUCCCGUGUGGUGAUUAUGAUUCGACUUCCAAUAGCACCACCAUCAAGGGAAGUCUUCAAUUGCUUCCAAAUCUCGCCAUUAUGUGACCAAAUAUCAUCAAGCACGAGGAUAAACCGCUUUCCUUGGAUAGACUCGGACAACUUCCUGUGCAGAGCUUCCCACCCAACACUAUCGAUGACUUUGUCUGUAGCUUGUUCAAUAAUUUGUUUUGCAACCAUCUGAUGGUCAAAAGGGUCGGAUACACAAACCCAUAUUUUCUUGUCAAAGUGGUUAUUCACCUGUUCUUCCUUUAGGAUCAGUUGCGCAAGAGUUGUUUUCCCAAAACCUCCAGUGCCCACGAUUGAGAUGACUGGGACCUUCGAGUCAUGAUGACUAGUCUCACCCAAUAACUUGCUCAUGAUAACUGCCUUAUCAACAUUACGACCAUAUAUGUCAGAAACAUCAACAUUAGAGACAGUGGGUAUUCGGCUUUCCGUUUCACUUCGAAUUUCGGUGAGCUUGUACAUGUCCUUCUUUCUAGCAAUCUCAUCAAGUCUUUUGUUCAGUUCCAUUAUCUUAACACCAAUCUCAUGGCGUUUGAAAGGACUGAAACAACAAACAAAGCUAAAGAGAAUGGAACACACAUUUUCAUCAGGUUUCUGCACAUUUGAAAGGAGAGUUUUAGUGAUCCACUCAUCCAGCACAUCGUCGGCAUCGUAGGAGACAUCUUUCAAUUGUUCCAACCAAAUCUUCACUGCUCCAUUCUUCACUUGCUUCUCAUCUGCAUCCUUAAGCACCGCUUGGAUCAUUGCAAGUGUAUCAGUGAGACUUUCAACUUCGUUCUCAACACCCACAAUUAACUUCACCUCUUGUACAAGUGAAGAUCUCAGUUGCUCCAAGAGAAGAGAUACCAAAGCUUCAGCCAUUGUAAUUAAUAAGCAAAUGCAAAGAGAAAAAUAUAUUUCAAGUUGAAUAACAAGCCUAGAUCACAAUGAGUUUUUCAAAUUAAAAUGUCUCACAAUGCUUUUACAAUUGAUGAAGACAAGUUGGAACAAAAUAAUUCAAUUCUUUCGGUGAUGGCUCCACUCUAUGGGACCAUGUUGUUUAUCAACUUUUCCUUUUGUGGUCUAGAAUCAAAUUCGAAAUUAUAAUAAAUAAAGCUGAAAUGAUCGAAAGCAAUAAUAGUGUAUAGGAUUUGAAAUCACUAAUAAUAAAGCUGAAAUGAAAGCAAAACUAAAGCAAUAAUAAAGCAAGAGAACAGGCAAGGAAUCCAACAACACUGUGCAAAGCAAAUGAAAAACAAACUCUUCAAAGAUGCCAAUAUAAUUGAAGCAAAGAAUACCAAUUUCAUAAUAAUAGAUGAUGAUUAUUACUGAGUUAAGCAAAGAAUAUAUACCAGCUCUCAAGUCAUUCAUAAUAAAAAGCAACAAUCCAACUCUUUUUCUCCAAUCUGCCAUUUAGACAAAAAAAAAAAAAAAAAAAACCUGUUGGCAAUACGUACAAGUAAAAAUCACUAACAUUGUUAAAUGCAAAUGACAAAAUUCUUCUUUUGUUAAAAGAAUUAGAAAUGAUCAAAUGAUGAAAAGCAGAUUCUUCAAAGAUAGAUGUCAAUAUAAUUGAAGCAAAGAAUACCAAUUUCAUAAUAAUAGAUGAUGAUUAUUACUGAUUGAAACAUAGAAUAUAUACCAAUGAUCUCAAUGUAUUGAUCAUAAAGGGCUCGAAUGAGUGAUCAGAUGAUAAAAAGCAAGAUGCCAAUGGUCUCAAUGUAUUGAUCAUAAAAGGCUUGUCCAACGCAGACUCAUGGCUAAAAUGUUGGUAACAACAUUACCGUUAAUGAGAGAUGGAUGACUUUAUAAAUCUUGCGUAUAAACACCAAUUGUAAUGCACGAGUUGACCGAAAAAGCACUUACAUGUAGUUAUAAAAACUGAAUUUUUACAAUGAAUAGUUGCAAUCCCGAAAAAUUGAAUUCGGCAAAUCUUUCCUUACAUAGGGUCGUAUGUGUGUUGAUAUGAAUGACAUAUGACUACACAAAGGAUUUUGCUUUCAUUUCGGUUACAGAGUUCUCAAAACAAUAAACUCAACUGCACGUAAUAUAUAUACCAAGUCGAUAAACAAAAAUAGAGAACCAAGUUGCUUCGAUCAGUUGUCUCCAAACCAAAAGUAGGAUUUUGUUUUCAGUUGUUAUCUAGAAGGCACCAAACUAUUCUCCUUAAUACUGUAAUGUUGUAAUGAAGUACCAAAGUGUGAGAACCAUUUGUGCUUCAGUUCAGGUUUGCAUGGCAGAUCUGAGCUCUAUUACUAGAAGAAGUUAUGGAAGUUGUUGACUUUAUGCAAUGAAGUAAUAUACUUGUCAACAACUUGCUAGCUUAGACUCUAAUAAAUACUCUAUAGCAACAUUUUCAAGAAUGUCUAGCAAUGAGUACUCUGCAGGUCAGCAAAUGUGUGGAAAGGAUGUGUUAAAAUUGCUGCAAUGGAAUGGAAACAAUUUGUAUUUGAAUAUAUAGAAACAAUUACUAGUGGUAAAUUUACCACAAGAUUGUUUUUGCACACUUAUGUCACCAAAAACAUAGCCUAACUCAGUAACUCAUCAUUCUGAGGAACCUAUUGGAUACUACAAAAUGGUGGAAGUUGUUUUUGUUUUCUUUCUUUUUAACUGAUUAAAAUUAAAUCAUUCGAUACACUUAAACUUGUUGAUCUUCUUGAAUGUCAUAUUUGCAGAGUAUUACAUAAAUAAAAGUCCACAUACGAUAUUCAAUAAUCUUAAGGAACUCAAAUGGCGUGGUCAUUUGCUUUCAAAGAAACUGGUUCUUGCCCGUUCUUAGAGAAACUUUACGUAUAUGUGAGUCACUCUCGAUUCUUAAUUGGUAUUUGAUGAUAACUCAAGUCAACAUCUACAAUAUUUUCGUAUUUAUGACAAUGACGCUCAUCGUGAACCAAAAAAAAAGGAUGCAGUAUCUUUGUUAUCUUGUUUGUUUUGUUUUUGUAUUAGUGAAUAACUGAAUAAAAUGUUGAAUUUUGAGAGUUUGCAGGGUUACAGAUAUUAGAACGACCUCCGUGUGUACAUUUCAAUCCCAUUGUUGGGGAGGUUGGAUCUGUUCCGGCAUUGCUCAUUUUGUUGGUGAGAGAUCCCUGCUAUAUUUUGAUUUUAUUUUCUUCUAGUACGUGUUUCUCAUGUAACCAUGUCACCUCUUCUUUUGUGUGAAGUUUCUGUUCGUUUUUUACUCUUAUGAUGGCUAUGCUGCUUUGACAUUAGGAAGGAAUAAUGGAACAACCAAUGACAGAGCCUGCUUCUAUAAGGGAGCUUCCAGAUGAAGUUCUUGUCCACAUAGGCACAUACUCUCAUUCUUGUACACAAAAGAAGCAGUUCAAACCAGUAUAGAUUUCUGUUAUUUUUCUGAUAAUCCAACAACUUCAAAACGAGCAGUUGAGGUGGUCAACAAUUUUCUUGACCAUUACCAACCAUUAAAGCUACAGACGCUUGCAAUAUUCUGCUUGGAAACAGAAAUUUAUCUCUCUUUAGAUUAAUUAAGUUGGAUUCAUUUUGCCACCACGAGAGGUGUCGAUGAGCUGAUUUUACAUGUUUAUGCACCAAAAAAACAUUUUGUGUUGCCCAACUGUCUGUAUUCUUGCAAAACUUUAGCCAAGCUGGUAUUACACUGUGCUAUAUUUGAUCCUCCUGUGGAAUUCCUAGGUUUCUCAAAUCUGACGUGGUUAGAUUUUUUCAAUGUAAAAAUUACAGAUAAAAAAAUGCAUGACUUAUUUUCUGCAUGUCCUCUCCUCGAGCAACUUAGCCUUGUGUCAUGUCGUAAUCUGAAAAGUCUCAUUCUUUCCAAUCCAAAAUCAUGUCUCAAGAAUCUGCACGCUUUGUGUAAAUGUAAGUGAAUUUGGUCCUUAGAACAGUCGGAGAAGAUGAUCGGAAUUCAGAAGAGGAAGGAGAUGAGGUUGUGGAAAUGGCUGAGCUACCUGAUUAGAUAGUUGCCUACGUAUCUGAGAAAGAAUUACUUAGUCCCAGAAUCAAGCCCACGUAGUUCAUUAUAUAGGUGAUUGGGACAACGGAUAGCUCAUUAAUUGCCCAACGGAAUGGUCAAUUAAUGGGCGGAUAUUUUGGAUCUGACAAUAUAUUGUAACCGUAGAGAAUCAAAACGUAAAGUGUUUGAAUGAGGACGAUGUAGCUCGAGUAAAAGUAGCUCUACGUCGGGUGAGCUCGGAUAAAAUUGGGCUUGUGUCGAGUGAAGGCUUUUGAAGGUCGGAUUGUAUUAGCAUUUGUGGUGACGCAGUGAGCUCGAGUAAGUGUGGUGUUACGUCGAGUAGAGUCGAAUAUAAUUGGGUUCACGACGAGUUAUGUGAAUGGGUAUAUACAUAGCCCCUUUUUUAUUUUGAUUUGGGUCGAGAAAUCAAUUUUGUAGAUAUGGUGGACUCAAGUCGAAAUAAAAAAUGUAGAAGAUGAUGAUGUUUUGGUGGGUUGCUCUCUCUCGAUUUACGAUGUAAUGAAUGAUUCUAUUGCGUGCUGCAGUAAAUGAGUUUGCAUUCUCGAGAGAAAAGGAAUGAUUGCGUUUUUUUUGGGGGAUGUGAUAUUUUGGCCACGUGGAUUGUCUUUUUGAAUUUUGAAUUUUUAUAAAGUAACUGAAAUGAGAGGGAAACCAAGAGUUUCGUCGGUUGGAUUUCUCGCAACGUAUCUGGCCGUUGAUUGAAGACGGUUUGGACGGUUGAGAUGAAGUGGUUGGGUUUUAUAAAACCUAACCGCACCGCUAGAAAACCAAGGGUUUCUCUUGCUUAGGAUUUAAGGCUUCUGCAUCUGUUCAGCACAAGGUACUUCCUCUUCUUCUCUUUUGCUCUUCUUCUUCAUUUCUUCUAUUUCGUAUAUUUCUUGCUGUUCUUCAUUGCUUUUUUCUGGUUUUAUUCCUUGUUCUUCAAGUGGUGGUUGAGUAAUUUGAUCUUCCUUUUGUACUUGUUUAAUUUCCUUGUUUAUCUGUUGAAAUUGCCGUUGAUUGGGUGCUGGUUUUGCUUAUUUCCUCCAUUGUUGAAGUUUUUUGAAGCUUUCUGUGUCUGUAAGUGGUAGUUGUACAUCAACUCUAAAGAAUGAGUGAUAGGGGGUCGGAAAGUAUAAGUGAUAACGACGGAGAUGUUCAGGCUAGUGUUAGUGGUAGUCGAGUUGAAGCAAAUGAUGACGAGACUACUAGUGGAAGGGUCCUUAGUGUGGAAGAGGCUCGGAGGUCUUUUCCGGAAAUUCGAGCUGAGUCUAACAUUAGGAUACCCGACCUUGAAAUGUAUAGGGUACCUGAUAGGCUUUUCGACCUAUGUGGGGAUACAACCUCGACGUUAAUAUGUCUUGGUCAGUUGAGGGGUGGCAUGCGUCUUCCAUUUAGCAAGUUCGUAUGUGAUGUGUUAAAUCAUUACGACGUAGCUCCCAUUAUGAUGCCCACCAGCUUUUGGACAUCGAUGCUAAUAUUUGAGGAAUUAAACAGGCUGUAUAAGGCCGAUAUUGUAAAGUGUGACGUCGUUGCAUAUUUCAUGUGUGUGACUGGUCGGAGUGGGGAUUACGUUUGCUCCUUAAAUAGGAGGCGGAGUUGUGGCCCAGCAAAGCUGUUCAAUCCUCCGACUUCGAACGAUGGUUGGAAAAACUCCCCUGUAUAUAGAAUCCGGGGUCAGUUUGUCCAGCCCAGUGCGUACCUAUGUCGAUAUGCGAUUCCGAGCAUAGGUGAACGUAUGUCUUGUAACUUUACCUUAUAUUUUAAAAGUUGAAUUUUUGCUGACCUGCCCUGUGUGUUUCGUAGGUCAAACAAAAGAUUAUAACGAGCAUAUCGACGGUCGUUUGCAUCCGAGCAAUAUAACUGAUUUUGCUGAGAAAUCUUGGGCCGAGAAGAGGAAGUUGUUACCUCAUUUGGCACGUUUCUUUUGUGAGCCCCGAGUUAAAUUUAACAAAGGUGCCGAAGUGGAAGUUGGUGCCUCCAGCGCUCCCGCACCCAAAAGAGUCAGAAGGAAGAAAGGGGAACUUGCUAUAGCUCUGCCGGUUGCGGAGUUGGUUUCAGGUCGACCAGGAGAUUUACCCAUCGAGGCUGUUGACGCAUUACCCAUGGCUGAGCUACCUGAUUAGAUAGUUGCCUACGUAUCUGAGAAAGAAUUACUUAGUCCCAGAAUCAAGCCCACGUAGUUCAUUAUAUAGGUGAUUGGGACAACGGAUAGCUCAUUAAUUGCCCAACGGAAUGGUCAAUUAAUGGGCGGAUAUUUUGGAUCUGACAAUAUAUUGUAACCGUAGAGAAUCAAAACGUAAAGUGUUUGAAUGAGGACGAUGUAGCUCGAGUAAAAGUAGCUCUACGUCGGGUGAGCUCGGAUAAAAUUGGGCUUGUGUCGAGUGAAGGCUUUUGAAGGUCGGAUUGUAUUAGCAUUUGUGGUGACGCAGUGAGCUCGAGUAAGUGUGGUGUUACGUCGAGUAGAGUCGAAUAUAAUUGGGUUCACGACGAGUUAUGUGAAUGGGUAUAUACACUUUGUUAUGUCAAAAUUUGAGGAAAUUAGUUGUUCGUGUUUUACAUAGCCAUGGAAAAUAUAAAGAGUUGUGUUUGAUAAAUGCUCCACAUUUGCUCCAUGUUGAUCUAUGCUUCCCUUAUGCUGGAGAUCUAUGCUUCCCCUAUGCUGAAGUAUCAUUUGCUAUUUUAAGUUAUUGUUUUGUUUUCUUUCUUUUUAACUGAUUAAAAUUAAAACAUUCGAUACACUUAAACUUGUUGAUCUUCUUGAAUGUUAUUUGCAGAGUAUUACAUAAAUAAAAGUCCACAUAUGAUAUUCAAUAAUCUUAAGGAACUCAAAUGGCAUGGCCAUUUGCUUUUAAAGAAACUGGUUCUUGCCAUUGCCACUUUUCUUGGGGAUUGCCUGUUCUUAGAGAAACUUUACAUAUAUGUGAGUCACUCUCGAUUCUUGGUACAUCAUGUGGUGCUUCAACUUGAUUAUUCAUGUUUAUCUGAAUGUUGGUAUGCAUCUUGAUCAUAAAAUGCUACGUGAAAAGUAUUGGAUGUAUUUUCAUCAGUUAUUUGAUGAUAACUUGAGUCAACAUCUACAAUAUUUUCGUAUUUAUGACAAUGACGCUCAUCGUCAACCGAAAAAAAGGAUGCAGUAUCUUUGUUAUCUUGAAUACUCAUUAUCUCACCUUCAAACAAUUGAAUUGGAUGGCUUUUCAGGAAAAAAAAAAAAAAGGGGAAAUGGAUCUCGUCAGAUUCCUGUUAAAUAAAUCUGCAAAUCUCUAAUCGUUUCUUCUGACAUCCAACAAAGAGAAUAUAAACAAGCUUCGAUGUUGGGAAAAGCGUCUCUUUCAUCUGCCAAAGGCUUCAUUGUUGACAAUCUAUUUUUGGCAAUGACUAAGAGGAAGGAACCUAAAAUGAUGUUAGAUUACUUUUGUCUCAGAAGGGUAGUAGAAGCACAAAGAUAUAUUGGAAUCAUUUUUCAUCUCCAUUACCACAUGCUCUUGAUCUUAAUUUCCUGUGUUUCAUGUACGUACACUGUGGUUCGUCUUCCUUAUCCUCAAGGAAAGUUGUGUAUAGUUGGAUGCUUCUUGCGAGUAUUUUCAUGCUUCCAAGUACGUACAAUUAUUUUAAAUAAUUUAUGCGUUUUUAUGUGAUUUGCUAGCUGUUUGUGCAUAUUCGGUCGUAUCAAUUCGGUAAAACUCUCUCCUUCCAUGGUUAUUUUACUGAACUUCUAUGUAUGUUCUGCAUCUAUUUAUAGCAAGAACAUGAUACAAGUAUUUAAGAAUGGAGUAUGCCUCUUGACAAUGUUGGUCAUAAGACAUAAAUAGUGCUGAAAAUACUUCAAGAAGGCAUGUUUUCAUUCCUCACAAAGUCAAGUUUUAUGCUUGUGGGACAUUGACCUUACUGCCACUUAUGCUAUGCUUAAUAAAGUAGCAGAGUGUGAGAACCAUUUGUGCUUGCAGAGUGCAGGUUUGCAUGGCAGAUUUGAUACCUGUUCCUAGAAGAGGUAUAUAAUGUGGAGGACUUGAUGCACUGAAGCAAUGCACUUAGGAUAUUUCUCAACAACUUGCCAUCUAGACUCUAAUACAACUCAAGAGGGAACGAAUGUCUGCCCGAGGACUCUGCAGGCAAGCUAAAAGGUGGAGGUAAAACUGUGACGAGCAAAAAACAAUAGUAAAUCAUAACAUAGAAAGUCCGGAAUACUGUACUCUGGGAAGAAGUGUUUUUCGAUAACAGUACAAUAGUCCGGCUUUGCACUGUCAUGAAUGUACUCACAUCAGUAAUUAAUACCUAUCCUGAAAACAUCCUUCGGCAUGGUUUGUCUUACAUAUAUUCUUCGUGUAAUUCAAUAACGACACUGUAAUCCAAUUAUUCAGGGUUUGAGAUUUGUGAUUUCAAAUAUCUUUGAAAGGAUUAAAAGCUAUCAUAAUAUCCAAUCCUGAAACAUACAUUCUUCAAAAAUAUUAUAGAAACCUAGUCUUAGUAUCUUAACUCCAUAAUGGCAUCAACUAUAUCCCCUUCUGCAGCCUUCAGUGCCUUCACUGCCUUAGCUCUUGAGACCCCAGCCUGUGUCAUAACUAAGUCAAUGUCCCUUUGGGAACAUCCCAGUCUCAUCGACAUCUUCAUCAUCCUCCGCGAUUGCUGAUGUUUCGAGCUUGGAAAUCACGCGACUUAAAUCAGGAGCUUUGAACUGCUCUCCACAGCCUGUAUCUGCCAUUACGAGCUCAAAUCCUUCAUCUUCGCAAGGAUCAGAUGUUGGCCUCUCAAACACAUCUGGUUUCGAGUUGACAAAUACAAUCUGAAAUAAACAAAGAUCAUUUUGGUGAAGCUUAAAAAACAAGAGAACAUACGAGCAAAUAUGUACAUAGCACCACAUGCUUCACAGUACAUACCAGGGUAUGCAGUGUUACGAAUGUACUCAUUGCAACCAUCAGUUGCAAUCCAACCUAAUGCCGCGGCAUGAUUCCUUUGACAAUGUUUGUAUAACUCAGUGAAACUACCCUCUCUGCAUUCCAUAUUACCUAACCUGCUAAAGCCAAAUAGAAUAACAUGAUUUAAAUUGAAUUAUUCAACAACAAGAAAGCUAGAAAUAAUAUGGAUCAAUUAUAGGGAAUUUUUUUUUUUUUUUUAAUAUCUUGUUCUCUCUAAUAGUGCUGUAAUGAUGUAAUGAAGUGACAGAGUGUGAGAACCAUAUGUACUUGCAGUUCAGGUUUGCAUGACGGAUCUGAGCUCUGUUACUAGAAGUGACAUGAUUAAGGAAGUUUUAUUCACUGCAAAGAACAUGAUCAACAGUACUAGUUUAUGAAUGCAAAAUUGAAAUUUCUCAACAAUAGUUUACAUGUUCUUCCUACUAUGAUCAGCGAAAAUACAAAUCGGAAACUAUGAAUGGAGAAAUAGCAUCAAUGUUUCCACAAGAUUCCUCGGCUAUCCGUGUUAAUUAGGGACACUUUAGUCAAACAUUGGAUUAUCGUUUAUGCGUUGUUACAUUGUCAAUCUGUUUUAAGUGUAAUUCAAUAUAAUAUAAAAUGCACCUGAAAAACAUUACCAUCAAUCUUCUAACAAAUAAGAGAUAAAUUUUUUGGCAAACAACUGAGUGAAGAAAAGUGUUCAUUUUUUUUUUCAAUCGUUUAUGCGUUGUUACAUUGUCAAUCUGUUUAAUGUUUUAAGUGUAAUUCAAUAUGCACCUGAAAACAUUACCAUCAAGUGGUAANNNNNNNNNNNNNNNNNNNNNNNNNNNNNNNNNNNNNNNNNNNNNNNNNNNNNNNNNNNNNNNNNNNNNNNNNNNNNNNNNNNNNNNNNNNNNNNNNNNNNNNNNNNNNNNNNNNNNNNNNNNNNNNNNNNNNNNNNNNNNNNNNNNNNNNNNNNNNNNNNNNNNNNNNNNNNNNNNNNNNNNNNNNNNNNNNNNNNNNNNNNNNNNNNNNNNNNNNNNNNNNNNNNNNNNNNNNNNNNNNNNNNNNNNNNNNNNNNNNNNNNNNNNNNNNNNNNNNNNNNNNNNNNNNNNNNNNNNNNNNNNNNNNNNNNNNNNNNNNNNNNNNNNNNNNNNNNNNNNNNNNNNNNNNNNNNNNNNNNNNNNNNNNNNNNNNNNNNNNNNNNNNNNNNNNNNNNNNNNNNNNNNNNNNNNNNNNNNNNNNNNNNNNNNNNNNNNNNNNNNNNNNNNNNNNNNNNNNNNNNNNNNNNNNNNNNNNNNNNNNNNNNNNNNNNNNNNNNNNNNNNNNNNNNNNNNNNNNNNNNNNNNNNNNNNNNNNNNNNNNNNNNNNNNNNNNNNNNNNNNNNNNNNNNNNNNNNNNNNNNNNNNNNNNNNNNNNNNNNNNNNNNNNNNNNNNNNNNNNNNNNNNNNNNNNNNNNNNNNNNNNNNNNNNNNNNNNNNNNNNNNNNNNNNNNNNNNNNNNNNNNNNNNNNNNNNNNNNNNNNNNNNNNNNNNNNNNNNNNNNNNNNNNNNNNNNNNNNNNNNNNNNNNNNNNNNNNNNNNNNNNNNNNNNNNNNNNNNNNNNNNNNNNNNNNNNNNNNNNNNNNNNNNNNNNNNNNNNNNNNNNNNNNNNNNNNNNNNNNNNNNNNNNNNNNNNNNNNNNNNNNNNNNNNNNNNNNNNNNNNNNNNNNNNNNNNNNNNNNNNNNNNNNNNNNNNNNNNNNNNNNNNNNNNNNNNNNNNAGAGAUAAUUUAAAGAGGUUAUGAAAAAGCUACUUUCAUUGGUAAGAAAAAAAAAAAAAAAAAAAAUUCCCAAGUACCCCCGAAAAAUAAUGGGAAAGAGUACCCUGGAUCUCUAGUUUCCCUACUGCCUCAUAAGAAACCCCUGGGAAAGAACUUAAAUAAGAGCGAUCAGUACUGACCUCAAUAUGCUUAAACAUAUACUUUGUUCUGCUCUUCAAUUUCAGCUGAUUUUUCAACCACAUGACCACCUUCGGCGUCCUCUGAAGUAUCAUCAGGAUCCACGGGAACUGGACUGUCUCCACGGUUUACAAUAAGCUCAAAUAUAUGGCUCUUUCUGUGAUGCUGAUUGACAAGAUCUGUAUGCUUGCAAGGAUUAUUAUAACACUUUUCACACAAAUCCAAACCUCUGCCUCCCCUAGUGCCAACAACACCUUCAUCAUAAGAGUCUUUGGAUUAGUAUCGCUUCCCAACUAUUGGAUUCAUCUGCUGAGAUUCAAUUACGUAGUAAGAGCAUGAAUAAAUAAAUAUUAAUUGCUUAAAGAUUAGCAAUUUUCAUUGUAAGAGCGUAAAUUGAAAGAAAUCAGGAUAGCUUGCGUAAAGUGCUAGAUGCUAUGAACAUGCUAUGAACAACACUGGCCAAUACUUCACAACUUUAAGCUGGAAACAAGAGUGUGAAAACGCAAGCAAGGACAACAAAAUGCUAUUGGAGUUUUUUUCCAACUUGUGUCAUGAAGAUAAGUACCAAUAGUGCAGCGCGAGGAAAUCCAGGUGUUGUUGGACGGAUAGCUGUUUCUACAAACGGAAGCACUGAACUGAAAGGUGUCUUAAUUGGUGGUUUGAGAGAAACAAGUAACUUCGUGACACAGUUGCUACGAUCCUUUCAAAAUAUUAGCAGAGGUCAAUUUUGGGGCAGGCAACUGUAUAAAGAAAGGCGUUUGCUUGAAAGAAAAAAAUCCUGUCGAAUCGAAUGACAUACCUCCCCUGCUUAGAGUCCUUGGACAGUGAUCUCUACCAGCAUGAAUGAGUAAUAAAACUCUCAGCUACUUCAAAUGUUCGAACUUCGAACCCUCAAUGUAAGACAUUUGAGUGAAUGAGGUGCAAGCCUGCAAGGUUACUGGUAGUUGGUUCUCUCUAGAUUAUGUAAGAUUCCAGCAUAUUAGAAGUGCUCCAGUGUAAAGAUUUCACUCACUUGGUGAAUAACCUUGACACCAUCUUGGUGAGCUUGAAGUACUAGCUACUUUUGGUAGUCACCCCAGAUAAUCUGAAAUCCCUUUCUUGAUCAGGAACUGCCAGGAUAACAUCAACCCCAAACGGUCAGUCAAGGGUCUUUUCUUCCUUAUUGGUCACUUAUAAUCAGAACAAUCCUGUAGCAAAUGAUGGAAUGUCAAAGGGAGACGAUGAAAGAGUCAAAGAGCUAUUGAAAAAGCUACUUCAUUGGAAGUAAAAAAGAUUCAGAAGUGUGCCAGAGAAUUUAUGAGAAAGAAUACCCUGGAUCUGUAGUUUCUCUGCAGCCUCAUAAGAAACCACCGGGAAAAAACUUCAAGAAGAGUGAUCAGUACCAACCUCAACAUGCUUGACAGCUCACCCGUAUGUACUUAUUCACUAGCUCAAAUGUAUGGCCUUGUCUGUGAUGUCGAUUGAGAAGAUCUGUGCCUCUAGUGGCAGCAACACCAUCAUCAUGACAGUCUUUGCACUUGUAUCGCUUCCCAACUAUAGGGAUUCAUCUGCUGAGUUUCAUUUUGGCAGUAAGAGCAUGACCAAAGAAUAAAUGUACAAAGAAAAUUCAUCAAAAAAACUUUAGAAAAUUAAAUCAUCAAAAAAAAUUCAUAUUUGCUUACUGUCAAAUUGCUUUGAGAUUAGGAUUACCCUGGAUCUCCAGAUGCUCUGUAACCUCAAAUUGCUUACUGUCAAAUUGCUUACUUGGUCACUUGCUCGUAUGUACUUAUAAACUAGCUUAAAUUCAUCCUUUGUUCUGCUCUUCAAUUUCAGCCGAUUUUGUAACCACAAAACCACCUUUGGCGUCCUCAGAAUGGUCGUCUGGAUGUACUUGAACUGGAUUGUCUCCACGGUUUGCAAUAAGCUCAAAUGUAUGCCCUUGAGUGUGAUGCUGAUUGACAAGAUCUGUAUGCUUGGAGGGAGUAGUAUAACACUCUUCACACAAAUCAAAACUGUAAUAACAGUCUUUGCAUUUGUAUCGCUUUCCGACUAUUGGAACCAUCUGUAGAGAUCCAUUUAAAUGGUAGGAAGGCAAUCGUGUCAAUUGUGGGCAGAAGUUUAUUUCUAAUGCCGGAGAGAGCAUGUAUAAAGGAAGAACCUUCAGCUUUGUGCAAUAAUGGAUCUUCAAUUCACUGAGACAUGGCAUGAUGGUAAUACUUGCAGUCGAAGUUGAGUCCACCUUUAACUCUGGAAUCGUUUCCCCUUCCCACUCACUGAUAUUUCUCAAUUGAAGAGACGUUAGAGCAGGGAAUAAAACAACUGGUGGUUUGACGAAUUCUCCAUUGUCCACAUUAUCUCCCUUUCUAUCAUUUAUACUCAGAAUUCCCAAAAUCUCCGGACCCAAGAAGCUUUUCAAUCCAUCCAUCCAACUCAAUUUAAGGAACUUUAGAGACUUUAGCUUUGCAAGACCUGAUGGUAAUCCUUGCAAUUCAAAGCAGUAUGAAAUUUCUAAUUCAACGAGGUUUGGAAAGAAGUCUAUCUUAUUAGUAUCAUUUUGGUAUGGCAAAUCCCAUUCCUCCAAAUUUUCCAAACCCAUAAAUUUCAGUUUCUUCAAUUUUGGAAAAACAAUUUGUUGUUGCACUGAAUCUAUUCUGCCACCACCACCACCACCACAACUACUAAGCCCAUAAAAUUCUUCACCAAUGUGUUUCACCGACCACAAAGUGUACAAAUCAAGAAUUUCAAGGAAAGGUAACUUCCCUAAAGCAGGCAAUUGCAAUAAUGACGUGAGAUAGUAUAAUUCUAACUUGACCAAAUGAGAUAAGAAUGAUAUCCAAUCUGGCAAUUUGGUCCCUUUAUAAAACUCUACUUUCAAUUCUUCCAAAUUUGUAUGCGGUACGACACCUUCAAGAAUUGCCUCAUCACCAUAAAUUAUCGUACGUCGUUGUUGUGUUGCUGCUUCUUCAUAAGUUCUGAAAGACAAAAUCAAGGAUUGGAGGUUUUUUUUCUUUUCUAGGUUUGCCUCUUUAGCCUCAUUUGCAUUCGCCACUUGACCCAAGUUACUUAUCUGUAACUUUCCUUGGAGAUUAUUAAGAAGCUCCAAUUCUCUGAUAUUACACCCUUCUCCUUCAAUCUCAUCCCUACCACCAAUAAUGAAUUUGACUAGUGUUCGAAGACAACUCAAUUUCCCUAAUCCUGCUGGAAGAUAUGUUAGACUUUUAGUACCUUCAAUCAUUAAAUGUCGUAAACUAGACAACUUUCCAAUUUCUUUGGGGAGUUUAACUAGCAUAUGACAGAACUUUAGAUUCAGGGUUUGCAAAUUAAGUAAAUUGCAUAUGGUUUCAGGCAGCUCCUUCAACUUCGUGUAAGACAGGUUCAAGUACCUUAGAUGUAACAAUCUUGCUACCUCGCUUGGAAAUUCUUCAACGUCACUAGUACGCAGAUCCAAUACUCGAAGGGAUGUCAGUUGAUGUAUCAAUCCAAGACAUGUGAUCUUUUUUCUAUAAUAUCCACCAGAUCUCAGUGUUCGUAACUUCUUUAGCUCAUAAAUGGAUGACUUAUCGAAAACGAAAGUGGUCAAAUGGCGGACAUUGACAUUUUCGAGUUCUUCAUCCUCAUUUAAAAUACAAGUUUCACCUUUACUAAGAAACUGCAGAAAAUCAUGCACAAGAUCAUGCAUCAUGCAACUAGUAAUGUUACCUUUGGAAUCCCUUUUCAAGUCUUGGAAAAAGGAGCGCAUCGCCAAAUCAUCAAAAUAAUGUCCACCUUGAAUCUCCAAAUCCUUCCUCCCAUUUGAACCAAGAAACCCUUGUGCCAUCCAUAAUUCUACCAUUUUCUUCUUUUUAAUUCUUGAAAAUUUUGGCAAGAUUGCACAAUACACCAGACAUGGCUUUAGUUUUGCAGGUAAGGCAUUAUAACUGUCUAACAUUGAAGUUAAAGAACCCAAAUCUCCCUCUUGGAAUUGGAUAUUCCAAAUAUUACUUACCUGCACAUUUCGCCAGUCUUGGAUAGUUUUCUUUCGCCUCAUGAGAUUUGCUAAAAGCCUGAUUGAAAAAGGAACGCCUCUGCAUCUUUGGGCGAUAUCCUUUGCAAUAUCUUCAAGAAUCGCAAGAUCAUCUUCCCUUUGCCAGAAGGCUAUACGUCUAAACAUUAACCAAGAAUCGUCAUCUGACAAUUGCCCCAGCCAAUGUAUAAAAGUAGAGCCCAUACGCUCUGCUAUUUUUUUAUCCCGUGUCGUGAUUAUGAUUCGACUUCCAAUUGCACCACCAUCGAAGGAAGUCUUCAAUUGCUUCCAAAUCUCGCCAUUAAGUGACCAAACAUCAUCAAGUACGAGGACAAACCGCUUUCCUUGGAUAGACUCAGAUAAGCUCCUGUUCAGAGUUUCCCAAUCAACACUAUGGAUGACUUUGCCCGUAGCUUCUUCAAUAAUUUGUUUUGCAACCUUCAGAUAAUCAAAAGGAACAGAUACAUGAACCCAUAUUUGCUUCUCAAAGUGGUUAAUCACCUCUUCUUCCUUUAGGAUCAGUUGCGCAAGAGUUGUUUUCCCAAAACCUCUAGUGCCGACUAUUGAGAUGACUGGGACCUUCGAGUCAUGAUGACUAGCUUCACCCAUUAACUUGCUCAUGAUUACUGCCUUAUCAUCAUGACGACCAUAUAUGUCAGAAACAUCAACAAUAGAGCUAGUCAUUGGUCGACUUUCCCUUUGACUUCGAUUUUCAGUGAGAUUGAACAUGUCCUUCUUUUUAGCAAGCCCCUCUAGUUGCUCAUUUAAUUUCCUUAUCUUAACACCAAUAGCAUGGCGUAUGACAAUAGGUUUAGCGCAACAAAAAAAGUUGAACAAGUGGGAUCGCACCUUUUCCUUAACUGGUGCAUUCACAUCAGGCUGCAGCAGUUUGGAAAUAAGAAUUCUAGUGUUCCACUCAUCCAACACAUCUUCGGCAUCAUAGGAGAUUUCUUUGAUUUUGUCCAACCAAAACUUCACUGCUUUAUUGGUCACUUGCUUCUGCUCUGCGUCCUCAAGGACUCCUUGGAUCAGAGUUAGCGUACCAAUGAGGCUUUCAACUUCUUCGUCAACACCAGCUAGCAACUCGACCUCUUUGAAAAGUUCACUUAUGGCAAUGGUUCCCAAUUGCUCUAAAACAACAGAAAUCAACGCUUCUGCCAUAGUAAUCAGGAAAUGAAGAACACAAAUACAGAAUGAAUAAGAUUAACAGAAAGAGAAACUUUCAAAACUUAUAUCCACUUUGAUGUGUUUCUCUGUGAUUUAUAGCCUUAAGCAACUUUAAGAUGUGAUAAGUUGAUUGAAAUAUGCUAAUUGAGAUAUAAUAAUCUGCUCAGAUGUAAGUAGACCAACUUGCCGUCCUGACUCACCUAACAUGUUACCUACCAUGAUUAUGAAUUGAGAAUUGGAUUUUUGUAAUAGACAAUGUUUUUAUCUAAAGUCUUUGUGAAAAAAAUAUGUUUCAUACCUUACCUUGGGAGGUAGUGAUAGAAUACCUAGAUGUAGAUUUAUUUUUCUAAUGCAUUGAUUUAGUCAUCCGACGGCAAUGUUAGGUAUAGAAUACAUUUUUCUCAAUGCUAUAACACAUUGAGAACAGUGUUAUAGCAUUACUUCUGUGUAUGCUUGCACAAAUCACAAAUGUAUUCAUAUGCAUGAAACCUAUACAAGAGACUUUAAAACAGCUGCACAUAAAGCAAUAUAUGGAUUAUUCAAACUCUUAAUCAAUUAUCUGCUAGUGCAUCAAUAUUUGUUUUCCUUGCUUACGUUUGGUGCACCAACCUGAAUAAUUGUUAAUGUUCUACCUAUACAGUCUCCACCUAUCUGAGUCAGACUGAUUAGUAUCUUUUUUACGGUAGUGGUUGAGGACCCCUACAAUACCUAUUCUACCAUUAAUUGCCGCUAUCGUGAUCGGAUUGCUUUGUCAUGGAGACGAGGUGUUGGAAUCAUUUUUAAUAGAGUGGUUGAUCAGAAUGAUAUAAUAUACUACUGUACUAAAUAGUUAUGCUUUUGGUAAAAAUAUAAGCAUUUGCCCACCUACAUAUAUUCUUUCGCCACCCCAGACAGCCAGACCCCUAUUUAUUAAUACAAAAUUUUAAGGUGUCCGUGUCUCCAUCUUGAAAGUUGGAUGUAGGGGUGCUCAACUUGCCCCGUGACCCGAACCCGCCCCGUUCCCCGCACCGUUUUUAUCUCCCCGCCCCGUAUCUGCCCCAAUGGGUAGCAGGGCAGGGAUGGGUUUCAUUAUAUAGAUUUAAACCCCGCCCCGUUCCCCACCCCAUAUCCCCGCCCCGCCUAACUAUUUCGGUGUUGGGAAAUAGUGGUGGAAUGAUGAAGUGGUGUUGGCUUGUGUUGAUAAUUUGAAACUUCUUCCCCACCACGGCGACCGUUAAGGCCUUCUCCUCGUUGUAGUUUGGCACUAGAAUGUUGUUCAUCUUCAUUGUCAUUUUCUUUAAUCUGUACACAAAAUUUAAAUGUGUUAUCAAUAAAUAAAUAAAACUAUGGAAUAAAAAUUAUACUGUAUUUGUAGAACUGUAGAAGUGAAGUGGUGGUGAUACUUACAGGAGAGAAGAGAGGAGAUUGAAAAGGUGGAGGAGGUGGAGAUGUGGAAGUUGAAGUUGAAGAAGAAGGAGCCAUGACCACGACUACUGAGAGCUUGGAAGAACUAGCUAGCACUUAUGAUGAUGAGGAUGAGUGGUAAUGUAGAGAGAGUGGGUUGGGGUUGGGGUUGGGGUUAUUUGUUCAGUUUUUAUGGGCUGUAUUUCAUCGUGUUGUAAAUUAUCCACACUUUUUUUUACUUUUCCCAGUCCCCGCCCCGCCCCGACCUGUACAGGGCAGGGAUGGGGUGAACCUUCUUAAGCCAACCAUUCCCCGCCCCGCCCCGCCUAAGAACGGGGAUUAUUUGAACCCGCCCCGUCCCAACCCCGCACACUGUUCCCCCGCCCCGUCCUGCCCCGCCCAAGUGGAUGCAAUUAAUAAUGAUAAUUCUAAUUACAAAAUUAGGUGGUGGAUUAAUAAAAUUAAUAGAUUAAUAGGUCUUGGGUACCUAGUUUAAUGCAGAUUAAUUAUUCUAAUUAUCUACUAAUCAUUGAUGUGGUCAUCAAAGGUGGCAGAAUAAUAUUUAAUAGAUUAAAAAAUUAAAACAUACAACAUAUAUAAAACACUAAUUUAUCUAUGUAACAAAUCAUAGUUUUCUCUAACACAAGAGCCGUCGGAUUUAUGUCUAAGACAACCGAGUCCAUAGAUUUGUCUCAAGACAACUAAGGCCUUUGGAUUACUCUUUCUCUAGAUAUAAAAUUUUCUUAAAUCACAUUAGUAACCCCACAACUCUAACAAAUUAAUAAAUAUAAUAAAUACUUACAACUAACUAUAUUAGUAACACAGUGAUUAAAUUAGGCAUCCCAAAUUGGGAUGUGGAUUAUGGAUUAGUCCCGUCAAAGAAAGCAAUUAAUGAUUAGUCAUGUUUGUUGACCAGAAAGUAGUUUACAAUAAUACCCUUUAAUUGCUACUAGUUAAGAUUGUGGAAUUGCUAUUAGAAUUGAAACCGCCGAGUUAGUGGUAGAGUGCAGCUAGUGGAAUAGCUAUGAAGAAUUGCUAUUGAAAACCGAAUUGCUGUUAUGUAUCGCGAAGAAGAAGCCUAAUUUAGAGGAGUAAUGAAAGGAAAAAUAGGAGAAACUGUAAAGAACAACAACAACAAAGCUUCUUCCAAAAAUCAUAGAAUGAAGAAGGUAAUGGAUUCAAGUAGCUCUGUUUGUAAGGUAUGUAAGUUAGUAAUUAUUUAAGUUUAGAUAUUUAUUAUCAUCGUAGAAAUGAGGGGUUCUAGCAAUUCAAAGAAAUUGCUAAACCCUAACGCUGGUUGUUGUUAAGAAAAUCUAGUUUUUUUUGAAUUUUUUUUUUAUAUUUCCUGUGAAAGUAGCAAUUUUAGCAAUUUGAAGAAAACAAAACCCGAAAUUGAAUGUAUAAUGAUAGAGUAGCAAUUGUAAGAAUUGCAAAAGUAAUGGUUUUUUAUUUGUUUACGCUUUCAAAAAAUUUCUACAACUCUAAUAUACUGAACGCUGCUUUGUUGAAGUACUAAUAAACAAAUUGCUAAGCAAUUUUAAGAAAUUGCUACAACAACUAAUAUACUGAAUGUUUCUUUGUUCAAAUACUAAAUCUUGCAUUCAUUCUUAAUGAAAACAGGAAAAUCAACUACCUGAACGAAAAAGGAAAGAAAGGCAAUUUCGGUCGAGUCUAUCCAAUUGUGGUGAUUAUAUACAAGCUUUGAAAGAUUCACUGACCGAUUCACAUCUUGAGUUAAUUAGGAAAACUCCAUUCAAAAUCUUUUUUAAUUUUUUAUACUCAAACAAGUACAAUGUUUCACCAAAGUCGAAGGAGAGUUUAGUUACGCUUAUAAAGACCUAUGGGGGAAACAACAUAUUUCACCUUGGAAGUAAAGUCUUAAAGUUAAGUCCAAGUGAUGUUGCACUGACAUUUGGGUUGCCGAUGAGAGGUGAAAUAGAGGAAUUAAUUCCAAGUAAGAGUAGGUCCAUGUUUAUAGAAUCUUACUUCCCAAAUCAAGACCAGCUCAGAACCCAAGCCAUUUUUGAAGCAAUUGAGAAAUCCAUCAAUGAAAAGAACGCGGAAGACACCGUAAAGCUUGUCAUCAUAUUAAUCCUUUGUACAGUGUUCUUCACAGAUACCUCAGGCGCUAUAAGAGCUUCACUUGCAGACUGUGUGAAAGAUUUUAAUGUAGUGAACAACAUCUCAUGGCCGAAAUGUAUCCACAACCACCUAAUGAAAACGAUUGCUAAGAAUCAUGAGAAGAAUCCAGAUUUGGUUUCCGGAUGUGUACUUCAGUUGUUGGUAUGUAGAAUUCCAUGUUUAAAAUUGCAUUCAUCAUUUGUUCGUACACUUUAAAAUUGCUAACAAUAUUUGUUGAAAUAAUGUAGUUCUCUUUUUGUGAACGUUCAAACAUUGUCAAACCAGUUAAGGAGUCUAAGGACGUUGUGCCACGCUGUGGAAGGUGGUGUUUGAAAGAUGUUGAUCAGUACAUGCAAGAAAACAGAAGUAAUCUAUGGAACUACAGAAUGGUGAGUAAAAUGUUACAAAUUUGGGGAUCUAUUUUGUGUGGUUAUAGUGGUUAAGAUAAAAGUAGCAAUUUCUAAGAAUAACAAUUUUGGAUUGUGGGUUAUUAUGGUUGCAGUGUUUAUUUUAAAAGUAGUAAUUUCUGAGAAUAGCAAUUACAUUAUACUGUAUUUGUAAGGUUAGCAAUUUUAGAGAAUUGCAUUGUUAUGAUAAUUUAUAGGUUUAUCUAGUGUAAAGAAUUGCAUUGUUUUGGUUUCUUACUAUAGUUGCAUUGUUUGAAAUAGAGGUUUACUUAUUUAUGUAAUUGAUUUACUCUUUUUGGCUUAUUUUUGCAGUUCAAAGUUGAUGAUACAUUCAAAAACAUAUCUGAUGACGAGAAGGAGCUUUUGGAGUUAGACUUUGAAAAGGAUAAAAUGUUGAUUCAUGAUGAAGAUGAAACAAAUGACUGGGAUACUCAUACUUUGAGAAACGAGUAUAUGAAAUUAAAACAAGCCAAAAAAGGAUGGGAAGCAAAAUGUGAGCAGUUGAUGGAUGAGAUUGGGAGGGAGGAUGCAGAGAAAAUUCGAAAGUUGGAGGAAGAAAACAAAGAGCUCAAGGAGUACAAGAAAAAAUACCUUGAUUUAAUAUCAAAAACUGGUGGGAUUAGUAAGUCUAUGGAAGAUUGUGGACUUCAUGAUGAUUCUGGAUAUUCAAUUCCAAACAUGCCAAUGGAAGAGAAUACAGAAGAUCUGCAGGCAAAGAGAAAGAGUAAUAAGCAGGAUUCAAGUCUUAAUUGUGGUGUUAAGAGAUUGAAAGAAACAGAAUCGACUCAGAAGGUUGAUUGUGAGUUAGUUUAUGAAAGAAGAAGAGGAAACAAGCAUAAUGAAAAGAAAAAUGAGAAGGGAAUAGUAGAUGUGGAAAGCUUUCCACCACCAAAGAUUAAAGGUGAUUGCUGUGGACUCAAGGAUGUGAAGAAAAGCCCCCAUUAUGAGCACUUGUGGCCUUUCAAACUAGACAACAUUCAGAAUUUUUUCACGACUGCCAAGACAAAGUAAGAUAUCUAACUGUUAGCAAUUAUUGAAAUUGCAUUUAAAUCAUUUGUACAUUUAAAUCAAGAUAUAUGCAUUGAAAUUGCAUAGAAACAUAUAUGUUGGAUGAAUGUGGUAAAAAUUGGAGCACCACUGCAUGGUAUGAGCCCGACGCCUGUAUUGAAAUCAAUGGCUGCCACAUUGAGGAUUUGAUGUUCAAUAAAUUUAUCGACAGCCAGGUAAUUAUCUAUUUCAACGAAAGAACACUGGCUUUGCAUAUUAGGUCUUAAUAUCUUCAUGGCUUGCUUCUAGAUUAUUGAUUGGCAAGGAUGGAAGCUAAAUCGGAAAGAAAAAGUAAAACCCAAGCGGACAGUAUACUUUUCAGCUUUGGCAUGGUAUAACUCUGCAACUUUUGUAGCUAUUGUUUUUAAUUCCAUAGGUUUUAUUUAUAUGCAAAUUUUUCCAAACUUUCAAUUGUACAUGAUACUAUUCCCCAUUGGCACGUUGUAGCAACUAUUGGAAUUGCGUAUGCUAACCAUUGCAGCAAUUUGUGGAACCGCGUAGUCAUAAUUGUUUCUAAGUUAUUGCAACUUGUGUCACAAUUUGCUUAGUUUUGCAUAGAUUUCAGUUUGAUAGCAAUUUGUGGAAUUGCGUAGUUUCAUUGUUUGAAUUUGCACCAGGAAUGACGGGUUCUGCAUUUUUGUUUUUUUUUGAAACUGUGUGUUAGUCAUGCGUGAGACGAGGAAGUGAGGCCCAAGCAAAUCGAAUGAUAGAGAGGACACUGAAGGAAGUGAAAAUGGAAGACAUAGCAUACUUGGUUUUCCCUAUCAACUCAGGGAAACGCAAAGGUGACUUUGGUGGGCACCAUUGGACCCUUCUUGCUUGUAGGUGGGAGGAUUGGACAUGGCAGCACUAUGAUUCAAUGCUGGAAACUAAAGAAUAUAAGCUGAAGAGUGUACCAUACCACGAAGCAUGCGCUAUGGUAAAGCUUUCAAAUCCCCACUACAAGUGAUUUGUAAGUCUUAGUAUUUUUCAUUAAUAAACUGCAAUUUCCAAAACAACAUUUUUAAAGUUCAGUUGUUCAAUUAUGUUGCACAACAGAAAGCAUACGUGACUACCCUCGUCAAUGGAAGACUACGACUUGAAGGCCUUCAAACAAAAUCAGAUAGCAAGACAGUUGACGUGGUAGAUUGCCCAAACCAAGGAGACACGUAAGUGAAACUAAUUGUAGCAUUAAAAUAUUGCUUUAUAACUUAAAAUACCUCCUGUACUCACCACAAAUUUGCAAUAUUGUAUUGAAAAACAGAGUGGACUGUGGACUUUUUGUGUGCAAGUUCAUGCUAUUCAUGAGAAAUGGAUUUAGAGAUAUUCACCAGUGUGAGAUUGACUCGAAGAAAAUGAGGGCCUAUUUUAGUUGUGAACUUCUGACAGAUGAGAAAAGAAGUUGGCCCUACAAUAUUGAUAGUGUAGCGUUGAAAGAGAUGGUAAAGGAAAUUGAUGCAGAAGAGGAAGAACAGAAGGCAAAGUUGGCAGUGUAGUAAACUCUUUUGGAUCUAAACAUUGACUUUGUAAAAAUGCAUAUUUCAUAUAUUGGAUUGAACCUUUGGUUUUUUCCCUAAUGUUUGUAAUUUUUGUGCAAUGGAACCUCUUUAAGCAAUGGAACAACUCUUUUAACAAUAGUUCUUUUUUUUUUAAUGGAAUCUACUUCUAGCAUUUCAUGUAUCAAGUUUACAAAGGGAAAUUACAACAAAAAUAUGCUAUACAGCAAUUAUCUGAAAUUGCAAGAAACAAAAAAAAUUCAAAAGUUUGUAAAACAAUCAGCAAGCAAUUCUCAUUUAUUGCUAAUUCGUCCAGAAACAAAACCCUAACCUUUUAUUGGUACUGGAAGCUAAUAAAUGUUGUGUUUGAGAGGAUACUAAACUGAAGCUAGACAUCCUUCUAGCAGUGGUAACAACUUUGUUGUUGUAGGAAUAUAUUGUGCCAACUCAAAAACCAGGGAGCCCAAGAUCUUUUGACAGACUAUAAACAAUGUGAACUCUCUCUGCGUCUUUGUAAUUCCUUGCAUGAAGGAUUUCGGCAACACUGACGAAUUCAUUUGGACAGAAGACAGAACCGGAAUAUAUUUCAUCCGAUACAAGAUGUAUGUUUUUGCGUGUAACAAAUUCAAGAAUAUCUUCGAGGAGCGACUUUUCAAUUGCAGCUCCUAAAGGGUUUGAUGGAUUUGUUAUCAAAACCCCCCUGACCUUGAUGUUCUGGGCUUGCGCUUUACUGUAAGCUUCCUCUAAAGCUUGUGGAGUAAUUCUGAAAUUAUUCGUGCUGUCAGUGUGGAUUGACAAUCUUGACACCAGUUCUCCACCUUAGAUCUCUAUCGAAUCUGAAACAAAAAAAAAAUUCACCAAUAAAGUUAGGUAAGAGAAAUAAGCACAAGUAUGUAUUUACAAAAACUUGAUAAAAAGAGUUUGGUUAUAAUUCUUACCCUGGGUAAUAUGGUGUUGGUACUAGUAAAGCAUCACCAGGAUCGGCUAAUAUGAAGGUUAGUAGUUCAUUAGCUGCAGUUGCUCCUGCAGUAAGAACUACUCUAUCAGGAUCAAAUUUUGCUCUUCCUCCUCUAAUUUUCUCCAUGAAACUCGCCAUAGCUUUUCUGAAAGUUUCAAGUCCAUGGUAAUCUUGAUACAAAGCAUUUUCUCUGAAGGCAGAAAUCCCACUACCCCUCCCCCAGUUGGAUGCUUCUGAAUGUUGUUCCAAGUAUUUUUCCAGUAAAUCAAAUGAAACCUGUUCAACAGAUUAAAGCAUAAAAUUUAGUACAAAAUUCGAUAAUGACUACCUCGGGUCAUUGAAUUGUUUUUCUUUUCAUUCUUGUUGUAUUGCGCGGACACUUACUUGAUUUUCUGCAAGUCCCAUUUGUAUGACUCCUUCAGGGUUAUUUGAUUCAUGAUAAGGAUUUUCAUCAUAUGCUUUCCAUCCAGCAAAGUAUGGAGAGUCUUCUCCAUGAGUGUCAGAAACUGCAAUUUUUGACAAUCCAACACUAGGUUGCUCAAUCUCUAGGGCCAUGGUCGUGUUGAAAUAGAUAUAUAUUUUUCUGUAACGAAGCUAGACCAAGCUAGCUAGGCUAUUAAGAUUGUGUGUUGUGAAAGAGAGUUUUGGGAGAGAACUGGUGAAGGAACCUUGUCCAAAGACCCAUAUAUAUAGGUAGGCUCAAACACUAAUAAGGUCUUCCAUUCCCAUCUCUUGGUUGGAUGUAUAUAUUGUCUUUAAUUAAAUAAAAUGAAAGACCAAUGAUUGUUCCAGUAGUAUAAGCAAGAUCAAACCUCACCUUUACAAAAGGAUCUUUUUAUCUUAUUAUUAUGACAGCUGGAGUUUCUUGUCAUUCUUGCAGAAUUUUCUUUAUCUCAAUCUCUAUGAGAUCUUACAUCAAAUAUGGUGGUUGAUGAAAUUGGUUUUUAUCUUUUUAUGUAUGAUUUCAACCUCACAAGAUUUGUCUUGUAUAUAUUCUCACUUCAUAUUCUUUUGUUUUCUUUAUCAUUUGUUAGAGUUUUGUUAAUAGGUGCAACUUCUUCCAACCUAUGACCAAUAUAUAUAAAUCCUUGAUCAUCAAUGGAUUCUUAAUUAAGAUCUUUGUUAAGACACAAACCAAAGCUAUUGGAGUACUACUUAAUAAAGAGUAUAAACAGUUAUUUACUGACUAGACUUCAAAGACAAAGAGUAGUUUAGUUCUGAUGAACUGAGAAACAUGCCAACAUCCAAAUCUAUUAUUCUAGCAAAACAGAAUUCCCAACAUUACAAGUUUCAAAUAUUGUAAUCUAUCAAUAGCAAAACAUCUAUACAGUAUAUAUCCUUAUCAUCCCUUGCUAGACAUUUUCAUUGUUCUUAUGAAAGACAUGUUUUUAUAUGGUUGCAUGAAAAUGAGAACUUAAUGCAUGCCAUAUAGACAUAUAUGAGAGUAAACGUACAUCACAACUUGAUUUGCUUCUCAUCUAGUUCUCAAGCCAACCCUCUCUAAUAGUUUCUGGUGAUCCAAAUGUACAAGUGUAGGUUAGCUGCAGUUAGCACCAAUGUGAUAAUUAUAGAAGGUUCGAUCGAUACAGACAUGAACAUGACAUAUAUAUAUCUGAUGACGACAUAUAUAUGCAUAGAAAUGGAAUCAAAUAUCUAUGAAUACAAGAUCUAGGAUCUAUAAUGGGAUUUGUUUGUUGUGCAGUCCUUGACAGACUGAUUCAAGGGGAUAUAUAGGAAUGAAUAAGAUACAUAUAAGAUAGUAGAAGAUGCUAUAUAGUAGAGGUUCAAGAUCAUGAUCGAUCAAGUUUCCAUGUGCAAGACUCAACAACAUGAGAUUUGCCAUUAAAUGGGUCACAUCAGAAAAUAACAUAUUCCGCCUAUAACAAAUCGACAAGUAUCGACUUAUAGUCAUCUCUCAUGAUAAAGAUUUUGUUCAUUAGAAUAAUAAGUUUGGUGCCAAUUAUAGAAAAUAUUACAGUCUCUUUUACUAGUUCAACCAUCUUUCUCAAGGCAUGAAGACAUUUGAAUAUGACUCACAUGAUCCUCAAGGUUACUCUAAUUAAACAUUAAUCCCAUUACUUAAAUGAAGGAUACCAAUAUUGCCUUUUGUUCUUAGUGUAUUAGGUUAUGUAACACUCUUUUUAUUUAAUAUAAGACCUAGACUUAUUAGAUAAUAUAAAUAUAGAUUAGCUUAAUGACCAGGGAACAUAAACUAAUUGUUUAAAAAAAAUUAAUGUCUCUUUUGAAAGUGAAGUGACAUGAUCACUGAAAUGUACCCCAACCAAAAGUGAGAACUCAACACUGUAAAGACAACUGGUGUGUCUUCCAUAGGGUCUUCUUUUCAACAUUAACUAAAACUUUAAUAUCAGUUUUAGUUGUAAUCAAUCGACAAUCCAAUGUUCAAAACAGAAUAAAAGUUUCCCUAAGAUGCCCGACAAUCAGCCACACUGAUCACUAUAGCAUCAGCAAGCGCAAAUUGUCGCAAACACUCCCAAAUGGCCAAAUAGACAGGGACUUGUUGGAUAAUUAAACUGAGCAAACCUGUCAAUACACGCGAAAAAACCAAUAAAAGAAAUUCAAUUGGGUGUAAAGAAAUUGUAUAAAGUGAAUGCAAUAUGUAAACUUAAUUUGUUAAAUGUUCAGUAUAUUCAGCAUCACACUAUGGUUCAAUGGUUGUAGUAGGUAUAGAAGCGAACUUAGCAGAAGUUUCUGCGGCAAACAACCAUGCCAUGACUUUGGAGUUUGGAGACCAAAGGACCACACACCCUAAGGCCUACUCAUAAAAGAGUUACCAUUGAACUACACUAAUCCAAGAUUACACAGAUAUGGGAGUUGUCAGAAAUUAAUAAAGUUGGACUAGGUGUAUAUUUAUUUAUAUAUGGUAGUGGUACCAGUAUAUAUAAUCUUUUCAGAUGGUUUACUACCAAUAAGAAGAUGCCAUUUGGACAAAUCAUAUUCUAAUCAAACCAAGAUCAUAUCAAGUAAAGAUAUUUAGUAGGUCAGAUACUACAACUGACCCUGGUUCCAUUAGAUUUAGAGAUUUCUAUCACAUAUUUAUCAUCUCAGUUUUUUUAUUAGACAUGCAUGAUUCCUGGGGCGUGUAUACAAACACGUUUCGUGAACCCCAAAUCGAUCGAAUCCUCAUUGACUUAAAUCAGAUUAAGAUUAAGAAUUUCGGUGAAUUAAAAGGUAAGCGUGCGAUAUGAUUAUGAAAAAAGAAAAUGUAGAUGAAAUGAAACUUCCUCUGUCAACUUUGUAGAACUGUAUAUGACCAAACCUGGCUAACCACUCAGUUUUAGAAGAUGGAGGUGCUUAUUUUUUAUUAUCAAUGUCCUUAAUUGUGAUUAAUAUAUGUGAUGUAUGGACUUACACAUAGACUUUCAAUAGUAUUAGUUCAUGUAUUUCUAUCAUCUAAUUAUUGUUUCAUUCCAGCUCCUUGCCAACCAAAGUACACUUGAUCUUAUUGUCAUCCACUCAUGUAUAUAUAAAAACUGUAUAUAUACAUUGGAACUCAUGAAGCACUUAAUAUUCAAAUUUCAAACACAACACUGCCUCUAAAAUUCAAACUUAUUUUCUGACUUAGGUAUAUAUUCAUUUAAUUAAAUUGCGUCAUACCUUUAAUCCUUUAUGUGAUGAAUGAAUGGAGAGAAAAUGCUUCAAUAAGAGAGAACAUACCACCAGUUUAUCACUUUUGUGAACAUUUUUAAUUUCUUCAAAUGUUCAAUUGGGCUCUGCUGAUAGAUUUUUUUUUUUUUUUUUUUAAAAGAAUAAUCAAGCAAUUUGAUGUUUCAAUACGAUUCAUUGGUAAACUGUUCUUUUUUUGGUAAACUACAACAUGCGAGAGAUGUAGUACAUAAAUCCUCAAGUGUACUAGCUUUUGGAUAAUGUUGUAUAGACUUUGUGGCUUGACUAAAAUUUAGAACUGUCCCAUGAGAAACUUGUACAGUUCAAGAGUAAGAAAAUAUUCCAACUGCCAAGGCCAUAAAAUUAUGAAAUAACAAAAGCACUUCAACAGGAAGUCCAACAACACUUCAGUAGUUCAGUAGAGUGUUGUAUUGCAUUCUACACCAUUAUUCUUACCCAACCCCAAAGCUCUGAACGCUUCAAAUUACUACAAAGAUAAAACUAAAUAUUUUGAUAAAGAUAAAACACAAAACUUGAAUCUUCUACAAUUAGAUUUUUCAACAGAAUACAAACUGGCUACCAACAAUACCUAAAAUGCCACCAACUUGGGAUCAAAAGAAACUGAAUAUAAGCUGUUUCAAAAUCAGUACAAGAUGCCCGAAUAAUCCAUAAGAAUAAACAAAUGAGACAAGUUAAAUCAACUAAAGAAGUAAACCAUCCACAAAACAAUAUCCAACAUCGAAACUGAAAUUUACCUAAAACUACUGCAAGCAUACAUUCAAUAUCAAUAUAACAUUCAUAAGCUCUAAGAUCUACUUGUGCAAAAACUUAAGACCUGCAGAUCAACUUUUGGGUGAAGCCUUCGUAACUCCACUCUGCUGACUAGGCUGAGCUCCAGGUGCAGCAUCAUAUGAGCCAUGUGCAUUAUUGCCCACAGUACUGUCAGCAGAAUACACAGGAGGCUGUGAGUAACCACCAGCAUAAGAAUCACUAUAUGGCUGUUGCUGUUGUCCACCAUAACCUGGCUGGGCACUUGAAGGUACACUGUA